rnacentral:lncRNA from 1 species
CUCAGUCUCCCUAUAUGAACACACAUAGAAGAAGAAAGAAGGGAGACUCUAGGAACAAAAAGGGGGCUGAAACAAACCGAAAAGCGCACAGCGAUGGCAACAAAAACAAGUGAAAAAACGCUAAGGAGAAGACAUUUUCUUCUUCCCCAAAAUGCAGCUUCCUUUUGUAUAGCUAAUCCCCCAUUGUUCACCACUGUUUUCCUCAAUUAAUACCACCACGUGAAGCCCCCAAAAAGCCAUGAAAGAGCCUAGAAACCUCCAUUAAAAACCCUUUAAACUCUAUUUAAAACCAUCAUCUCCAGCCUGAUACCUCACUGUCCAAACCUUCCGUGAAUCGCAAAUCCCGCCCAAACACAAUCCAUAAAAUAACCCUUUUAACCAUUUGCUAACUCCAUUAAACCAUCCCAUAACAGUAGCCACUAAUCACCAAAAAACAGUCCCAUUUCUGCCAUUAAAAUCGAUCCAAAAACUAGCUGAAACCAACCCAAAACAGCAAAAAAACACAGAAGCUUCAGUCGAGGUCGAGGUUCGAAGUUCUCGAUGCUGUUUUUGUUUGGGGUUUGUUUGUAUGAAAGUCCAGCUGACCUUUGUUCCUGUUGUAUCGAAGAAUAUUUGGCUAUUGAAAGGUCAAUUUCUUGUUCUCCACUUUUUGGAUUCCAGGUCAUAUUAUACUUUCUAUAAGUUUGAGUGUUUUUCUUUUUAUCUUAUCUUCUUUGCUUAAUAUUGAUUUAUGAUUGGUCUUGUUAAAAUAUAUGGAAUACAAUUUGUUUUGGUUGAUCAUCUUGAUAUGAAUAUUGAGUUUUUAAAGUUAAUUACUGAAUCUUAGAAAGGAAAGAAUCAGGGAAAUGUUGUUGCAUGAUCGAUCGAUACUCUCAUUAGUGUUAGUGGGCCAUUCAUUAUUUGUUUACUUUGUUUGGGCUCGAAAUAAAAGAAAGUGACAUGAACUUAAAAGUUUUUUUAUUGUCUUUCUUUUUAAAAGCAUGCUGGCCCAAUAUCUUUAGUAUUUUCUUUAAAUUAGCUAGCCUAUCUUUUUUAAUUAAUAAAUAUUGAAAUAGCUCCAAAUAAUCCCAAAUUCUUCUUGAACAAUUCUUUAUCAAUACAUUAGUAAACAAAUCAGUCUAUGACCUCCGACAAUUCCAACAUAACUUUUGGGCUUCACAAUAAUCUCAAACUUAGAAAGAACAAUCAUAAACAUUGCUAGUAUACUUUUAGGUACGAUUAAAUAAUUUUAUUAUCAUGGUUAUGCGUACGAUUCUCGUGGCAUAACUAUAAUACAUAAAUCUAAAAUCAAGUGUGUUCAUGGGAUUUGAUCCAUUAACUUUAAAUAAUAAUAAAAAUAUUUACAUAUACUCUACCCUUACAAGACCAAGCUUGUGGGAGUACAUUGGGUAUGUUGUUGUUAUAGCAGUAAUAAAAAUAUCAUUAAUCAUGGGUACGUGUGCAUAGUGACCCGACCAGUCGUUAUAUAUAUUUGAGUCAUGUUCCCUCUUAUGAAGCUUUCCAUAUACGUAUUUGUGGUUAUGUAACUUGCGGGGAUGGUUGGUUGGAUUUUGCGGAGGUUUUGGAUUGAUUUGGAACACUUGGUUCUUGGUGUGGAAGCUUAGGUUGGAAGUACUAAUCGAGGUUUGACUUUUAUGAAAACGCUCCUAGAACGGUGUGUGGAUGGUUCCAAUAGGUUCGUAUGAUGGGUUUGGACUUAGGCGUAUACUCGGAAUUGAAUUCGUAGGUUGAAUUGGUUCUUUUUGCCGAAAGUUGACAAUUUAAAGGUUUAGAAUUUUUCAAAAUUUCACCAUGGGUUAACUUUGUGGAUAUCGGAUUCAGAUUUUUGUUAUGGAAAUUGGAAUAGGUCUGUUUUGUCAUUUGGAACUUGUAUGCAAAGUUUGGUGUCAUUUCAAGUUUGUUUGAUAGGAAUCAAACACUUGUUUUUUAUUUUAGAUGUUCUUGAGUUUCAUUGUGAAUUCUAUGUUUUUUCGUAUUCGAUUCAUGGUUCUGGAGGUUAUUUUGAUGUUUUAAGCUCACGAUCAAAUUUGUAUGAUAUUUCUAGACUUGUGUGAAUGUUCGGCGUGGAGCCCCAGGGGCUCAAGUAAGUUUCGGAUGCAUUUUGGAGUGUUUUGAUUAUUUUAGUAAUUGCUGGUUCUUGGCUUGUGCUACAAGUUAUGUAAAUUCGAGUACCAGUAUGCAUUAGCAGUGACCGCAUUUGCGAUGUAUUUAGUCGCAAUUGCGAAGGAGGCUGGGGUGGUGGGAUUUGCAUUUGUGAAGCCAGCCUCACACUUGCGUUGGGGAGCAGCGGCUGAAGUAGACCACAUUUGUGAUUUCCCUCUCGCAUCUAUAAUGCCUACUGGGUUCGCAUUUGCGGACAAUGAGUAGCGUUUGUGACUUCUGUGGGACUUGGCGUACUUCACUUGUGCAAGCCAAUAGUCUCAUUUGUGAUAGUUGCAUUUGUGAACCCAAGGUCACAAAUGCGACUUCGGUAGCUGGGCAUGUAUUUGAGAUUUUGGGACUUAGUCUCAUUUUAUCAUAUUUUGAGCCCUAGACUCGGUGUGAGACAAUUUUAGGAGGGGAUUUUCUCACAUAGCUAUUGGUUUUGACUCAAUUUUUAUAUUUUAACAUGAUUACUUAUGGAUUUUAACAUAAAUAUCAUGGGAUUUAAAGGGAAAUUUUGGAAAUUUUAGACUAUGUUUUGAAAAAUAAAAAUUUGAGAUUUGAGAGUCGAUUUGGACUCUGAUUUUAAAACCAAUUACAAAUAUUUGGACUCGUGGCUUUAUUAUUAGUUGAGAUCUACCCCUCGACUUGGAUUUUGACCGGGCAAGUACGGAGUUGACUUUUGUUGACCUUUUGGGAAUUUUGUAAAGAUCUUAACUUUAUUAAUUGAAACUGAUUUCUCUUGCAUUGUUUGAUAUUAUUAAGUUAUUUUUUGUUAGAUUUGAGCCGUGCGGAGGUAAAAUUUAAAGGAAAAACCUUUUAGAGUAUUGAUUGGGGUUAUUUGAGGUAAGUAUCUUACCUAACUCUUUGUGGGAGAAUUACCCCUUAGGAUUUGGUCUAAAAUGCCACAUUUGUGCUAUGUGAAACAAUAUGUACAUGAGGUGACAAGUGUGUACAUGGGCGUAUGUGUGAUUUUUGAUUGAAUUAGACCUUUGACUAUUAAUAUGCCUUGAAUUAGGGUUGUUUGCUAUAUGAACAUACUUUAUUAUUGAGUAUUUCCUGCACUAUUAUGCUAUUUUCAUGUUAUUUUAUCAUGUUGUGAGACGUGGGCUAUAUUGUCACAACCCAAACCGAUGGGCCGUGACGAGGACCCGAUGCCUUAAUCAACCGAGUACCAAUGUAACGUAUCUUUCUUACCAUAAUAUCAUGGGUAAAUGAGACGAAAAUGCCGUCAUGAGAUAAACACAAUAAAACUUAAGGGAAUACCCGAUAUAAGAUGACCCAACAUGAUAUAGAAACUUAUAAAUGUGACAUACGAGCCUAUAAGGCUGACAUGAUUCAAAACAUACCGACAAGACCAUACAACUAUCCAUAUACAUGACAUAUUUCUACAAGCCACAAAGAGUACAUAAACUUCAUAAAGGCCAGGACAGGGCCCCACCAAACCAAUAAAUACAUGUCCAAAGCAUACUGACCAAAUAGGCAACUCCGGAGUAAGUGGAGUGCACCAACACCUUUCGCUCAGCUGAUAGCCCACUAGGAGGACCGUUUAACCUAUCUAUCGGGACCUACGGGCAUGAAACACAGCGUCCCCAUGCAAAAGGGACGUCAAUAUGAAUAAAGUACCGAGUAUGUAAGGCAUGAAAUGCAGUAUAUAAAAGACAUGAAGGAAUCAUGGAGUAAAGGACUCAACCUAUAAGUCUGGAUGUGUUAUCCUAUUUUGCUCCUUGUCUACUUUUAUUCGUAUGUGUCAUCCUAUUUUGCUUCAUAUUUUGAUAUGUCUCGUGAUUCUUUGGAUACCCCUACUUAUGUUCCUAUACCCAUUGGGAUUUUAUUAUUGUGGACUGUGUCUACCGUUCCUGUUUGGACACUUGGGUGCUAUGAUACUAGAGUUCACCUUAUGUUACUAAAUAUGGUGGAUUUUGAUAUGAUUUUGGGUAUGGACUGAUUUUCACCAUAUCACGCUAUUCUUGAUUAUCACGCUAAGACGUUGGCUAUGCCGGGGUUGCCGAGGUUGGAUAGGAGAGGUUCAUUGGGUCAUGUUCUUAGUCGAGUGGUGUCUUUUAUGAAGUCUCAUCGGAUGGUUGAGAAGGGGUGUUUUGCAUAUUUAGCCUUUAAGAGGGAUGUUAGUGCUGAUACUCCUAAAUUUGAGUGUCAUUGCCGAUAGUGAGGGAAUUUCCAUAUGUGUUUCCAGCAAACUUGUCGGGCAUGCCACCCGACAUGGAUAUUGAUUUAAAUAUUGAUCUGGUAUCGGGCAAUCAACCCAUCUCUAUUCCACCAUAUCACAUGGCAGUAGUGGAGAAAAAUGAAUUGAAGGAACUACUUCAGGAGUUGCUUGAUAAGGGUUUCAUCAGACUGAGUGUCUCACCUUGGGGUGCUCCGGUUAUAUUUGUGAAGAAGAAAGACGGCUCUGUGAGGAUGUGUAUUGACUACAGGCAGUUGAACGAGCUUACUAUCAAAAACAAGUACCCACUAGAGCAUAUUGAUGAUGUAUUUGAUCAAAUUCAGGGUGCUAGAGUAUUCUCAAAGAUUGAUUUGAGAUCCGGGCAUCAUCAAUUGAAGAUCUGGGCUUCAGAUAUUCCGAAGACGGCUUUCAGGACCCGUUAUGGCCACUAUGAGUUUUUAAUGAUGUCAUUUGGGCUGACCAAUGCCCCAACAACUUUCAUGUAUUUGAUGAGCAACGUAUUUCACUUUUAUCUGGAUUCUUUCCUCAUUGUGCUUAUUGAUGAUAUAUUGGUGUAUUCUUGCAUCCAUUAGGAGCAUGGACAACACUUGAGGAGCUUGCUCUAGAUUUUUAGGGAGAAGAAUCUAUAUACUUAAUUAUCCAAGUGCGAGUUUGGGCUAGACACGGUUGCAUUCUUUGGCCACUUGGUUUUUAACGAGGGGAUUAAGGUGGAUCCGAAGAAGAUUGAGGUAGUUCAGAGCUGGACUAGACCUUCUACCGCCAUUGAGAUCCGGAGUUUUCUAAAUUUGGCUUGGUACUAUUACCGUUUCGUAGAGGGUUUCUUUUCCAUUGCAGUUCCUCUAACUAGAUUGUCUCAGAAGGGUGCCCGACUCAGGUAGUCUGACGAGUGUGAGGAGAGCAUUCAGAAGCUCAAGACUAGCUUGACUACAACUUCAGUUCUGGUUUUGCCUUCAGCAUCGGGUUCACAUACAUUCUAUUGUGAUGCUUUACGAGUUGGUAUUAGGUGUGUGUUGAUACAAGAGGGUUGAGUUAUUCCUUACACUUCACAUCUAUUGAAGCCCCAUGAGAAGAACUAACUGGUGCACGAUUUUGAGUUAGCAGCCAUUGUUCACGCGCUUAAGAUUUUGAGGCACUAUCUUUACGGCGUGUCUAGUGAGGUGUUCACGGAUCACAGGAGUCUUCAGGACUUAUUAAAACAAAAGGAUCUAAACUUGAGGCAACAGAGAUGGUUAGAGCUUCUAAAAGACUAUGAUAUCACCAUUCGUUAUCAUCCCGGGAAGGCCAAUGUGGUGUCCGAUGCUUUAAGUAAGAAGGCUGAGAACAUGGGGAGUCUUCUUUUUAUCCCAGUCGGGGAGAGACCAUUAGCUUUGGAUGUUCAAGCUUCGGUAACAAGUUUAUGAGGUUGGAUAUUUUGAAGCCUAGCAGGGUUCUUGCUUGCGUGGUUUCACUGUCGUCUUUGUUUGAGUACAUCAAGGCGUGUUUGUAUGAUGAUCCCCACUUGUUUGUCCUUAAAGACACGGUGUCACACGGUGAUGCCAAGGAGGUGGCUAUUUGUGAUGAUGGGGUAUUGAGGCUUCAGGGUCGGAUUUGUGUGCCCAAUGUAGAUUGGUUGCAUGAGCUGAUUCUUGAGGAGACCCAUAGUUCAUGGUAUUCCAUUCAUACGGACACCACGAAGAUGUACCAUGAUUUGAAUAAGCACUAUUGGUGGAGAAGAAUGAAGAAAUAUAUUGUGCAGUGGGUUGGUGUUUGAACUGUCAACAUGUUAAGCAUAAGCAUCAGAGACCCGAUGGUUUGCUUCAGAGGCUAGAUAUUCUGGAGUUCAAGUAGGAGCAUAUCACGAUGGAUUUUGUGGUUGGGCAACAACUGGACUUGAGGAGAUUUGACGUUGUGUGUGUCAUUGUGGAUAGACUGACCAAGUUUGCAUACUUUAUUCCAGUUAUGACUACCUACUCUUAUGAGCAGUUGGCUCAGAUUUAUCUUUGUGUGAUUGUUCGCCUUUAUGGCGUGCUAGUUUCUAUCAUCUUGGAUUGAGGCACGUAGUUCACAUUGCAUUUAUAGAGAGUCGUGUAGCGUGAGUUGGGCACACAUGUCAAAAUAAGUACAACAUUUCAUCCACAGACAGACGAAAAUCCUGAGCGUACUAUUCAAAUUUUGGAGGACAUGUUACGAGCCUGUGUCAUUGAUUUCGGGGGUCAGUGGAACCAAUUUCUACAGAUAGUAGAGUUCGCCUAAAACAAUAGCUAUCAACCGAGAAUUUAGAUGGCUCCAUAUGAGGCCUUAUAUGGAAGGCGAUGUAGUUCUCUGGUUUGUUGGUUUGAGCCUGUAGAGGCUAGGUUGUUGGGCACUAAUUUGGUUCGUGAUGCUUUGGAGAAGGUGAAAUAGAUUCAAGUGUAGCUUUGUAUAACGCAGUCCAGGAAGAAUUAUGCAGAUACGAGGGCUUGUGAUGUGGCAUUCAUGGCGUGUGAGAGGGUUCUACUCAAAAUUUCGCCCAUGAAUGUGUGAUGAGGUUCGGGAAGAAGGGCAAGUUGAGCCCUCAGUAUAUUUGUCCUUUUGAGAUUCUUGAGAGAGUGGGUGAGGUGGCCUACAGACUUGCUUUGCCACCCAGCUUAUCGAGAGUUCACCUAGUGUUCUAUUUUUUCAUGCUUCGAAAGUACUAUGAUGAUUUAUCACAUGUGUUAGAUUUCAUCUCAGUGCAAUUGGACAAGGAUUUGACCUAUGUUGAGGAGCCGGUGGUUAUCUUGGAUAGGCAGGUCCGGAAGUUAAGGUGGAAGAACAUUGCAUCGUUGAAGGUCCAUUAGAGAGGUCAACCGGUCGAGGAGGUGACUUGAGAGACCAAGCAUGAUAUGCAGAGCCGAUGUGCUCACUCUUUUGGCACUUUAGGUAUGUCUCUAUACUCGUUCGAGAACUAACCUAUGUUUAAGAGAGGAGAAUAUAACGACCCCGCCGGUCGUUUUAUUUUUUUGAGCCUUGUUUCCACUUUUGAAGCUUCACAUCUGUAUAUUUGUGCUUGUGUGACUUGGGGGGAUGGUUGGUUGGGUUUCGAGAAGGUUUUGGGUUGAUUUGGAACACUUGAUUCCUAGCUUGGAGGCUUAGGUUGGAAGUGUUGACCGAGGUUCGAAGUUUGUGAAAACGACCUCACAACGGUGUUUUUAUGGUUUUAAUAGGUACGUAUAGUGAUUUUGGACUUAGGCGUAUGCUCGGAAAUGAAUUCAGAGGUUCCUAGGUUGAAUUGGCUCUCUUUGCCGAAAGUUGGCAAUUUGAAGGUUUAGAAAUUUCCUUAGUUUUACCAUGGGUUGACUUUGUGGUUAUGGGUUCAAAUUUUUAUUUCGGGACUUGGACUAGGUCUGUUUUGUCAUUUGGAACUUAUGUGCAAUGUUUGGUGUCAUUUCGAGUUUGUUUGAUAGGAUGGACACUUGGUUGUGGUUUUAGAAGUUCUUGAGUUUCAUUGUGAAUUCUACGCGUUUUGGUGUUUGAUUCAUGGUUCCGGAGGUUAUAUUGAUAUUUUGAGCUCGCAAUCAAGUUCGUAUGAUGUUUCUAAGAGUCUAUGGAUGUUUUGUAUGGAUCCCAGGAGGUUCGGGUGAGUUUCAGAUGUGUUUCGGACUGUUUUAGUGAUUGCUGGUUCUUGGCUUGUACUGCAUGUCUCUCAAAUGCGAGCACCCGUUCACAUUUUCGGUGACCGCAUUUAUGAUGGAUUUAGUCGCUAUUGCUAAGCCAUUCUCGCAAUUGCUAUGAGGAGCUGGGGCUGAAGGAGGCAACUUUUGCGAUCAUCUUCACGCAUUUGCGACGCAUACUGGCUUUGCAUUUGCGGACAAUGAGUUGCAAAUGCAACUUCUGCUGUUCAGCAUAUAUUUGAGAUUUCGGGACUUAGUCUCAUUGUAUCAUAUUUUGAGCCCUAAAUUCUGUGGGAGAAUUUAGGAGGGGAUUUUCAUACAUAGUUAUUAGGUAAGUGAUUUUGACUCAAUUUUCAUAUUUUAAAAUGAUUACAUAUGAAUUUUAACAUCAAUAUCAUGGGAUUUGACGAGAAAUUUUGGGGAUUUUUUACUAUAUUUUGAAAAAUAAAAAUUUGACAUUUGUGAGUCGAUCUGGACUUGGAUUUGGAAACCAAUCAUAUAUUUGGACUCGCAGGAUUAUGGAUAGCCUAGAUCUUCCCCUCAACUCGGGUAUUGACCAGGCGAGCCCAGGGUUGACUUUUGUUGACUUUUUGAGAAUUUUGUAAAGAUCUUAACUUUAUUAAUCGAAUUUGAUUUUUCUUGUAUUGUUUGAUAUUAUUAAGUCAUUUUUGGCUAGAUUUGAGCCAUGCAGAGGUGAGUUUUAGAGGAAAUGCCUUUUAGAGUAUUUAUUGGGGCUAUUUGAGGUAAGUGUCUUGCCUAACUUUGUGUGGAAAAAUUACCCCUUAGGACAUGGUCUAAAAUGCAAUAUUGUUUCUAUAUGAAAGGACAUGUACAUGAGGUGAUGAGUGUGUACACGGGUGUAUGUGUUGUUUUUGAUCGGAUUAGACCUUAGGCUAUUAAUAUGCCUUGAAUUGGGAUUGUUUUAUAUAUGAGCAUGCUUUAUUGUUGAAUAUUCCCUGCACUCUUAUGCUAUUGUCAUGUUAUUGUAUCUUGUUUUGAACCAUGGCCUAUAUCUUGAUGUGACUUUGAGAUAUUGUUGCUUUUGUGAUAUUGUGGCACGUGUGUUGUGCGGGUUAAUUGUUGUUGUCUGGAGUAUAAGGGUGGCGAGAUGCGCAUGUUGCAAUAUAAGGGUGGUGUUUAUUGAUGCACAUGCAGCGAGAUAAGGGUGGUUUAUACGCGUGUAGCAAUAUAAGGGGAAAUAUAUCAUUGUGAUGCACACGCGGAGACGUAAGGAUGGCUUGUUGAUGAUGUUAUGUGAUAUUUCAGGGUGCUCCAUUGUGAUUGUUCGUGUGUUGGAAUGUGGAUUUAUGUUUUGGUCCCAUGCUAAUUCUCUUAAAAGUUUCUACUGUGUACUUUCGUGAGGUAUUGGUUGACUUGAUUUACUAUCACAUUUCCCACUCAUGUUUGAUAAUUUGUUGGUACAGAGGGGUUAUUCUGCUUGAAAGUGAUGUCACUUGAUCUUUGAGGUUGUUGAUAUCAAUUUCGUUAUGCUUUUUGUUGUCAAUUUUCUUUAAUGUCUUGCACAGGUUAAUUAACUAGUGAGUGUCUUGACUUGAACCUCGUCACUACUCUAGCAAGUUUAGUCUUGAUACUUACUGGGUACCGACUGUGGUGUACUCAAACUACGCUUCUACACAUUCUUCGUACUGAUCCUGGUACCUCGGAUCGUGGUGGUUAUUAGGGAGUUGAGCCCGAGCUGUUGGAGACUUAAGGGUAUACUUGGUACUCCGCCCGCAAGCCUUGGAGUCACCCUCUUUUAUUUAUUUUCUAAUGUUUAUGUCUUCCAAAUAGUGAUGUACAUUUAUUUCCUCCACGGUGCGGUCAAUGCGGUAGAGCCCAUUCCGAACGAUGUCGUCAGGGAUUUAAUACAUGCUAUACCUGUGGAAACCGCAGUCAUUAUAUGAGAGAUUGUCCGGUAAAGGACAAAGGUUGGAUGGCUCAGCCCACCGGGUCUGUAGCAGCCUCCUCCUUUUCAGCACGUCCCCUAGAGUGAGGCCCUCAAACAUCAACUGAAAGAGGUAGAGGCAGAGGUGGAGCAUCUAGCUCCGGUGAUAGUAAUAACUGCAUAUACGCUUUGAUUAGGCAUCAAGAUCAGGAGCAGCCAAGCAAUGUUGAUACAGGUAUAUUUACUAGUUGUGUGUGACCAAGAGUUUAUAUUGCUUGUUAAGGCUCAUUUUUAGGCAUCUGUAUUGCAUUUUCUGGCUACGUACAAGUUGGGUUUUAGUUGAGUUUAUAGAGGAGACUCUGGUAAACAUUUUGUAAGUCUCUAAAAGUUAACAUUCGAGGACGGAUGUUUCUAAAGAGGGGAAAGAUGUUACAUCCCAUACUUUUGUAUGUUGGAUUUGUCAUAAGUUAAUUGACAUAAGUUCAAGGAUAAGAUUAUUUUUGAGAUUUUAAGUGGUUAUCCUAAAUUUAGAAAAUGUUGAGGAAGUGUCGUUACUAUUAUCAAUGCUACUUUCAUCUUUUCUUUAGAUGAGGGUCUAUCGGAAGCAACCUCUCUGCCCGUCCAGGGUAGGCGUAAGGCUGCGUAUAUCUCACCCUCCUCAGACCCCACUUAUGGGAAUAUACUAGCUCGUUAUUAUUGUUGCUGUUGAAAAAGUGUCGUAACGAUUAGAGGUCAACAAAUUGAAGAGAAUAAGUUUCGUCAAUGUAAUACCCCGUGCUAUUAGACUAUGGCUUGAGCCGCUUGACAUAUGCAAGUAGACCUGAGCCACGAAGAAUUUUGUUUAUAUACAAGUAUGAAAAUAAAGAGAAUAGUGUAGAAUAAGAUGAAGUCCCAAAAUGAUGUAGGACGUUAGAAUGAGACGAUGGGGGUUGGGAAUAAUAUUUGGUAUGUAUAAGGAGGCUAUGGAUUAGAAUUAUACCACAUGAUAAUGAUAAUGAGUUUAUGAAAAGUGUAUAAAAUAAUUAUUAUUUAAGUGAAUAAAGAUCAAGAAAUUAAUUAUGCAGUUAAUUAGUUAAAUACAAGGAUUUAAUUAGGGAUUAGUUGAAGACAAAUGUCCAAUAUAGGGGACAAUUAUGGAGUCCAUAUGGGACAACUCAAAUCUCCACCUUAUGACUCAUGUUUCAUUGGAUAGGUAUGUCUUGGUGGCUACUCCAUGGCCAAGCUUCUUUUUCUUAUUAAACGAAUAUUACAUGGUCCCCACAACCCACAAAGUAUUAGAAAAUUUCGAAGUUACAUUUCAGAAUAUGUAUAUAUUAUUAACAAUCAUAACCACCUAGCCUAGAAGCACAAGAAACGUGAGAGAUUGAGAGGCAACUUUGGGAUUUUAUUUUUAAAAUUUUUUUAACUUUUGAUGGGGCAAAACGUGGGCAGCAAAAUCAUGAUAGAGAAUCUAUCCCUCCAUCUCUCAUAGAUUAGGUUGUCGUAGUUGCUUGUGGCAUGAGUGUUUGGAGCAUAAUUGGCAGGUCCUAGUUAAGUAAGGUAAGAUUUCAUCUCUCCUACAUAUUUUUGAGGUUGUUUGGUCUUUAUAAAACUUGUUAUUAUUGUUAUAUGGAGGUAGUUUUAUUGUAUAUGGAUAGUAGAUGAUGUUGUUGUUGUGUUAUUGUUGAUAUGCUUAUUGAAGUUGGAAUACGGAAGUGUAUAAGGUAUCGUAUACGAAGCAUAUAUUGGGUUGUCUUGGUGUAUAUUCUUAGGUGUUAAUGAUUUGAACCCAAAGGGAUUAAAAGAGGCUGUAGUUAUGGUUGUUAAAGAAUAAGGGAAAUGUUGUCAGUUCCAUAUUCGAACCAAAUUAUCGUUUGAUAUAAGUGAUAUACGAGUGUCAUCUAAGUUCGCAUAUGCAUCCAUUUGUUAUAGGAUUGGCGAACUAGUUACGACGCGUUUGUUGUUGGAUUGUGUUGACGACCUGAGGUAUGCUAAGGCUAAUCCUUCCUUCUUUUUGUAUGAUCCAAGUAACGAAACGUAAAUAUAAUAUUACUCAAUAAAUAGUUCUACUCUUAGUAGUUAAGGAUUCCUACAUUUUUCAUUCCUAUAAAAUGUAAUUCAAACUAUGUCUAAGUAUGUUCUAAGUUCCUAUUGAGGCAUACAAUAAAGAUGUUAAUGUUCAUAAUGUAAUGUUACAUGCAUCUUCAUUUACCACCGAGAUACGGUUGGUCGGGUAGUCAUACAUUUACCAUCGAGCUAUGGCUGGUUGGGUAGUUACGCAUUUACCACUGAGUUAUGGCCAGUCGGGCAGUCAUGCAUUUAGCGCCGGGCUACGGCCGGCCGAGCUGUACUACUAAUCAGUUGGGCAGUUAACAUCACGAUAAUUAUGUAGUCAUGACUAUGGUUUUAUAUAUAUAUAUAUAUAUAUAUAUAUAUAUAUAUAUAUAUAUAUAUAUAUAUANNNNNNNNNNNNNNNNNNNNNNNNNGUCAGAGGUUACAGGUUGACUCUUAUCGAGUCAGUGAUAGUAUCUUAUCGUUAUGAUUCAUUUCUUCCUUACAUACUUGGUACAUUCUUCUUACUAACGUCCCUUCACGGGGGGACAUUGUGUUUCAUGCCUCACAAGUGUAGAUAGACGAGGCGAAGAUCCUCCAAGAUAGGUUGCCUCUACUUUCUGGAGUAUUGCCGAGUAAGGGCUCUGUAUAUGUUAUUUUGGUUUAUGGGAAUGUCGGGGGCUUUGUCCCGACUUAUAUACUAUGUUCAUAUUACCAUAGAGGCUUUGCAGACAAUAUCUUGUCUAUAGUUUUUGUUAUGAUAUGUUAGUCUAUCAUGACGGCCUUGCCGGUCCCCAUGUAUCUAUGUAAAUUCUUUAUGAGUUGGUUAUGCGAGUUAAUCGUAGAUAGUGCAGUAGAUCAUAGUCGUAGGGAAUGAACUAAUUGACCUUUGACAUAUUUUAUAUACAACGAUGCAUGUGACCAGGUCAGAAGGGUAAAGCAGUGGCUGAUGAGGGCAUGAGUAGAGCACCAGUGGCUAGUGAGGGCCAGAGUGAGGCUCCGAGGGGAAGUGUGACACCCUUGCAUAAUUCUCCGACUCCUCCAGCACCCGAGAAGCCGAGGAGUAACCUAGUACCUCCAGUUCCUCGACCUGUAACUCAUGAUUUGGAUAUGGAUAUGCGGAAUGCAAUAUAGUUGUUGACAUUGGUAGCCGCUCAGGCUCAGUGUCAGGCAGGUAUAAGUGUUGAUUAUGUUGACAGGGCUAUUAGCACAAGAGUUCGAGACUUCAUCAACCUGAACCCUCCAGUGUUUACCAGAUCCGACAAGGAUGAGAACCCACAGAACUUUAUAGAUAGGAUGUAUAGGACUUUGAGGGUGAUGCAUGUUUCAGACACUGAGUUAGUAGAGUUGAGCCUUUAUCGAUUGCACGAUGUUGCAGUUCUGUGGUAUGAGACUUAGUAAUUGUCCAGAGGGACAAAUUCACCUCCAACAGUAUGGGAAGAGUUCUCAGGGGCUUUCUUGCGUCAUUACUUGCCAACAGAGAUCCGUCAGGCGAGGGUAGAUCGGUUCAUGGCUCUUAGACAGGGGAAUAUGAUUGUGCAUUAGUAUAGUCUCCAGUUUGAUUCCUUGUCUAGGUAUGCUUCCUCGAUUGUGGCUGAGAUGAGUGACCGAGUACAUCAUUUAGUGGUAGGGCUUAUGCCGCACCUGAUUAAUGAGUGUUCCACGUCCACUAUGCUCGAUAAUAUGGAAAUUUCCCGCAUCCAAGCUUAUGCUCAAAAUUUGGAGGAUCGAAAAUGGUAGAAACACGAGGAUCGUGAUGAGGGUCAGUGCAAGAGAGCUAGGUCUACUAGCCAACUUGAGGAUUCUCCGGGUGGUCCUAGGCCACCAUAUUCUGUAGAUAGUGCCCCUUCACAGUUGCAGAGGCCGCGUUAUGAGGGAUAUAUUUAUUCUGAAUAAGGUCAGGGUUCGAGGGCUUUGGGUUACCUGAAUCAUAGGGAUUCAGCACAGAUAAGGGUACCUCCUCCACUGUGUAGUCAAUGCGGUAGAGCCCAUUCCGAACGAUGUCAUCAGGGAUUUAAUACAUGCUAUACCUGUGGAAACCGCAGUCAUUAUAUGAGAGAUUGUCCGGUAAAGGACAAAGGUUGGAUGGCUCAGCCCACCGGGUCUGUAGCAGCCUCCUCCUUUUCAGCACGUCCCCUAGAGUGAGGCCCUCAAACAUCAACUGAAAGAGGUAGAGGCAGAGGUGGAGAAUCCUGCUCCAGCAAUAGUCAUAAUCGCAUAUAUGCUUUGAUUAGGCAUCAAGAUCAGGAGCAACCAAGCGAUGUUGAUACGGGUAUAUUUACUAAAUGUGUGUGACCAAGAGUUAUUGUUGCUUGUUAUGGCUCAUUGAGGCGUUUAUAUUGCGUUUUCUAGCAGUAUACAUGUUGAAUUUUAGUUUAAUUUAUAGAGAAGACUCUGGUACUUUUGUACGUUAGAUUUGUUGUAAGUUAAUAGACAUAAGUUCAAGGACAAGAUUAUUUUUGAGAUUUUAAGUGCUUAUGCUGAGUUUAGAAAAUGUUGAGGAAGUGUCGUAAGGAUUAUAGGUCAACAAAUCAAAGAGAAUAAGUUUCAUCAAUGUAAUACCCCAUGCUUUCAGACUAUGUCUUAAGCCCCUUAACAUAUGCAAGUAGACCUGAGCUACGAAGAAUUUUGUUCAUAUUCAAGUAUGCAAAUAAAGAGCACGAUAUAUAAUAAGAUGAAGUCCCAAAAUGAUGUAGGAUAUAAGAGUGUGACGAUUGUGGCUUGGAAUAAUAUUUGGUAUGUAUAAGGAGGCUAUGGACUAGAAUUAUACCACACGAUAGUGAUAAUGAAUUUAUGAAGUAUGUAUAAAAUGAUUAUUAUUUAAGUGAAUUAAGAUCAAGAAAUUAAUUAUGCGGGUUAUUAGUUAAAUGCAAGGAUGUAAUUACGAGAUUAGUGGAAGAAAAAUGUCAAAGAUAGGGGGCAAUUAUGGAGUCCAUGUGGUACUACUCAAAUCUCCACCUUAUGACUCAUGUUUCAUUGGAUAGGUAUGUCUUAGUGGUUGCUCCAUGGCCAUGCUUCUUUUUCUUAUUAAAUGAAUAUUAUGUGGGCCCCACAACCGACUUAGUAUUACGAAAUUUCAAAGUUCUAUUUCAGAAUAUGUAUAUUAUUAACAAGCAUAACAACCUAGCCUAGAAGCACAAAAACAUGAGAGAUUGAGAGGAAACUUUGGGAUUUUAUUUUUCAAAUUUUUUGUAUCUAUUGAUGGGGCAAAACGUGGGAAGAAAAAUCAUAAUAGAGAAUUUAUUCCUCAAUCUCUCAUUGAUUAGGUUGUUGUAGUUACUUGCGGCAUGAUUCUUUUGAGCAUAACUAGUAGGUCCUAGUUUAGUAAGGUAAGAUUUCAUCUCUCCUACAUAUUCUUGAGGUACUUUGGUCUUUAUAUAACUUGUUAUUGUUGUUAUACGGAGGUAGUUUCAUUGUAUAUGGAUAGUAGAUAUUGUUAUUGUUGAUAUGCUUCUUGAAGUUGGAAGAAGGAGAAAUAUAAGGUACCGUAUACGAAGCAUAUGUUGGGCUAUCUUGGUGCAUAUUCUUAGGUGUUGAUGAUGUGAAUCCUAAGGUAUUAAAAGAGGUUGUAGUUGUGGUUGUUAAAGAAUAAGGGAAAUGUCGUCCGUUCCACUUCCGAUCCGAAUUAUCGUUUGAUAUAAGUGAUAUACUAGCAUCAUGUAAGUCCCCAUAUGCAUUCCUUUAUUGUAGGAUUGGUGUACUAGUUACGACGAGUUCGUUGUUGGAUUGUGUUGACGACUUGAGGUAUGUUAAGGCUAAUCCUUCUCUCUUUUGGCACGAUCCAAGUAACAAAACCUAAAUAUAAUGUUAUUCUAUAAAUUGUUCUACUCUUAGCAGUUAAGGAUGCGUUCAUUUUCGCGCCCCGUUUUCUCGCGAAAGCAGGUUUCGAUGUGUGACAACUCUUUUAAAGGGAGGUAUUAAAAGAGAAGAGUCGCCACCUAAUAAUUUUUAAGGUGUGUUAGGGCACCUAUUUGCAAGUAACUCUGUUUGACUAGUCCAUAUCACCAAAGAUCGGGUAAGGGCUCAAGUUACUUCGAAGGAAAAGUGUUAGGCAUUCUUUGAAGUCCACAACUGUGGAUCCCUACCGAACUUUGAACUAUGUGGAAUAUGUCAUUAGGCUAGGCGAUCAAAAUAGACAAAGGGAAAUUUAGGAGUCGAAGAGUCUUGCUAUAAUACAUGUGAAUCGGUACGAAUCUUAAUGAUUACAAGGAUAUAACUACAUCGGUCUAUAUUAAAUGACUAAGUGUAAAUAGUUAGUAUAUAAAGAAAGGGGGGGGGAUCCUAAGCUUUUUAUCCUAAAGGAUCACCCCGUGCAACAUAAAUAAUACUUCGCAACUUCCUUAAGGUAGGGGUUGCUCAUAUUAUUCAGCGAGCACAAACUAUCAUCUCCUACUACCCAAUUACUAUGUUGAAAUUGUUACCUAAAGGCGUUCUAAUUCAAUUAUAGGCCGUACCCUAUGCGUGCACUAAAUGUCACAUACCUGUGGUCCAGGAGGCUUUGGACCUCUAUUUAGGUGGUUCUAGACUCUACUUAGGAUGCUCUAAAAUGAUAAAACUUACGCGCAUUCAAAACAUAUAGGACUACACAUAAAUGCAAGAAAAGGCUCAAGUUAACCUCCACACAUAAACAGCAAAUUGCACGCAUGAAGAUUUAGCAAUAGGCAAUUUUUAGAAUUAAGAUGCAUUAACGUCGUUAAGUCCUAUAUGCAUGAUCUCUAUAUGAUUUUAGUAUUAUACAGGCAGUGCUGCGGUUUCUGGACUAACGAAUUUGCAGAUGUUAUAAACCUAUAUACAUGAUCUCUAAACUAUUUACGCAAUGAGGUAGUAAAACUGUUUGAAGGCUUAGAGUUAACGAUGUUCGAUUUAUAGACAUGCUUUCUAGAUGAUGAAUAAUGUCCUAUAGACAGGAUUGACAAUUGAUCUUGAUUUUUAUAAUACUUUAUCCCUAUAGGCAUAUCAUCUGGGCGGGGCAGUGCAAUGAAAAUGACAGAAGUAUUAAUCAAGUAGUUAAGACCCUAUAGUCAUGAUAUCUCGAUGAGUGUUACAAAGGUAUGUAUUAUUACAUCCUAUAGGCAUGUUGUCUGAUAGUGCACAACAAUAGGCAUGGAAACAGGUACAACACUUACUAAAACCAACAUGCUUUGAAUAGUGUACAGGUAUUAGACAAGUUGAGUGAAGUAUGUGAUUUCAUACAGGCAUGGUUUCUAUGUGUGUACAGAUAUAAAACAUGCCAAACAAAAGUUGCAAAUAGGUAGAUCUUAUAGGCAUGAUCUCUACUCGUUUAUGCGAGAAUUAGAAUACCCCAACCCCUUUUCACUAAUCUCCCCAUUGUUUGUUUACAAAUUAUUACAGGCCCAAAGAUAAAAGAAGAAACAAAUUCAAAUAUUACAGAAUCGAGAUGACUACAGGCUCUAAAAAUAGAGCAGACCCAAGAAGAGGUAACCCAGUAUUGCCUGGGCCUUCAAUAGGCUCGUUCCUCACAUAAGUAGAAGACCUAGACCCAAACUCAGCUCAAACACUGGAAUGUAUGUCCAUUUGCACAACCACAAGCCACUCAUGGACUCAUAUCAAGCCCAACAUUUACAAUAUUGAUCACUUAACCAAAUAAGUAAAUGGACCACACACAAAAAUCAACUAAACAGCCCCAAGGCAAUAACUCAUAGAGACAGGAUUGUGUGACACAUUACAAGAUUCAUACACGCAUUGGCAUUUCAGAAGCGAGAGUGACAGGAUUGAUUAGGCAAAGAACAAGAAACUAGGAGAACCCACAUACUUGAUUUCGAACAUGGUAAAUGUAAUAUAGAUUAAACAAUUAAGCGAGUAACAACAUGCUAAAGAUAAACAUAAUACUAGGGGAGUUAAGGGGACAUGCCAUUUGGGAUUAAUGAGGGAAACAUACUAGACACAUACAAGAUGAAUAUGCUAUGUUUUUUCAGAAUGAGCUCAGCAUAAAGCAUGAUCCAUAGUUAAAAAAAGGUAUUUUGAACCUAGGAGUCUAAGUCUUGAAGGUCGAUAGGAGUUAGAGUCAGAAAAUGACAAUUACACAUAACAAACAAGCAGGCAAACAGUCAAUAGGGAGCCUAAUCAUGCUGAGUGCAACACAAAGAUCCCCAAGUUCAAAGGUAUCAUGAUAUUAAUUCCAGAUUAACAUGUCAAACAGGCAUUAGGACUAUCUCAGUUGACUAUAUAGGAAGAGUAGGUUGAAUGUUUUGAGAUUCUUCCUAGCAGUUUUUAAACAAUCCGCGAGUACAUAGUGAUAGCAACAUUUAGAGUUUACAAACAGCAAGAGACCCAGUUGGGAUAGUAUUAGCAUAUAAAUUCCUCAUGAAUUGACUCUAAGCAAAUAGUAGAUUGUACAUGAAGGACUAGGCAGAAAGCAGUUCAUUUGGACAAAUUCCAGACAUGAAUUAGUUCCUCAUAAGAGUCUACGGCAUAGACUCAUAACCAGAUGGGAAUACGUAACCAGCUAUACAUGAACAUAAUGAUUAGAAAUCAUUCAGGUUGGACACACAUAAUGGGCAUGCAUUAAGGCUAGCAUAUUAGGCUAAGCAUUUAGACAGUAUUAUCAUAUAACUUGCAGAGAAAUAACACAUUAUGCAUAAAGGAUUAAACAUGAAGAGAGCAAUUUUGAGCAAGAGCAUAGUUUCCUAAGGGUUUUAGUACAAGGUUCUACAACCAUCAAUUAGGUUUGAAUUACGAAUCAGGCAAGCAUCAUGAAUCAACUUAGCUAUCAUUAAAAUCAAAACAUGCAUAGAAUUGAAUCUAAUGGAACUACAAAAUAGUAUCAAAAUAAGCAGAAUUGCAUACGAAGUGGAAUAAUAUCAAAAUUAACUCAGGAAAAUUCAAGUAGUACUAAUGCACAUAACAUGAACACGAACAUAAACAAGUAGAAUUGCGAGAGUAUAGGGCACUAACCAGUUGCAAAUAAAGCGAAUAAAGAAUGAGAAACUCAAAAUCUCAGGAAUAACAAUAAUUGCAAGAGAGUAAUGAAAACCCCAAAAUCUCCAGCACUUCAGAGUUCACAAGAGCCUCGAAGUGGGCUCCGAGCAGUGCCUGCACUGGAGGAGGCUAAUGAACGGAUUUCGGUGGCCUUGCCUUUCAGCCGGCCAAAAUCAAAAGUCUCAGAAUAGUAUAGAAUCAGUGGGAGUGAGAGAAUAGUAGUGGUAACAAUAGUUAAGUCAAUCGUUCAAUUUUUCCAAGGGGAACAGAAAGUAGGGUUUAUAUAGUGGUAGAAAUCGAACAAGCAAACAUGAAAAAAAAUUAAUGAAUCACAAAUAAGGAAAGAAUAUCACAUGCAAUCAAUAAUAAAAUUGUAAAGAAGAAAACAUUGAAAUUUCAAACCCUAGUUCGACGGAAAGCAAAGAUUGGCCAAAGAUCUUGGUUAAUCGGAUCCUCAUAGCCUUACUAUGAACACAUAAAGAUAAAAUAUCAUCUAAAUCUAGGAGAGUGAAGCCAGUUUCCUUUGAUUUAGAGACUUGUACUUACCAAAAAAUGGGCAAGUACUAAGUAACACCAUAUUUACAAAGGUAAUAGUGAUAUAAUCCAGGAAAGGUAAGUAAAUCAUGGUAAGAAUCCGUGGAUGAGUUGGACUCAGAGAAGAAUUGGGGUAGCGGUUAGGGUUUGUGAGGUAAGGGGAGGUUUUGAGGAUAUAUAGAGGUGGCUGAUCGAGUAAAACGAGGCUAGGGUUUGGGGUGAAGUUAAUUAGAAGAGGGGAGAUGGAAUGUGGGUCGUUGAUCUCCUAAGAUCAACGGCCAAGAUUUUAAUGAGAGGCGGAUCGGGUUAGUGGAUGGGUGUGGGGUAGUGGAUUGCUGGUAUUGGGCUAGGGGUUAUUGGGCUGGAGUUUAGGGUGUGGUCUGGUGAAUUAGGUCCGAAAUAUGGCCUGUUUUGGGCAAGAUUUUAAAUACAAGAAAUUAAAGAGAAGAUAAUUGAAUGAAAUAGCUAAAUAAUAUAAAAGUAGUAUUUAUACAACUUAAUAUUUUUAAAAAUAAUAGCUGAAAAUUAUAACAAUAUAAAAAAUUAUUUUGACCCUGAAUAAAAUGACAAAUGAAAUUAAUUGUAAAAAUAUAGGUUAUUAUGCAAAUGUGAUUAUGGAAUGAACUAAAAUGUUAUAAAACAUAUGUGUGGGUGUAAUAAUUAAUUUGGAUUAUUAAUUCUUCACAAAAUAAAUUUUGAAGGAUAAUUAAUAAAUAUUUGAACAAUUUAAAUGCAAGAAAAAUAAUUUUAAAGCCUCAAAAAAUUGUGAAAAAUUACAGAAAAUACUUAUAUGACCCCUAUAAAUUGGUGAUGAUGUAGGAAUGAUAUUUUAGAAGCAUAUAUGACUUUUAUAAAAAUAUGAGGGCAAAUUUGGGUGUCAACAUCUACCCAUCUUUACCCGAGAAUGAUGAAAGAGUUGUUGGGUAAGAAAAUGAUGACCAAUUUUGUCCGAAGUGAGUAAGGAAUGAUGUGUUUUGAAACAAUGGUGGUCGAACCCUGGUUCAUGAGUUGCCUACGUAUCCUUGGUGUUACAGGAAUCAGGCCGUGUGUAGUUCUGGAUCCGACGGCGAAUGAAACCGAUGGAGUUUUUAUAAGAGUGGUCGUGUGUUUCUAAAGGGACCCUUUGGAUAUGAUAGUGUCGUGAGUAACAAAUGAUUUCAGGUGGAGCUAUGAGAUUAUUACGGAUGUACAAGGCAGAUAUUUGAAUAUUUAUAGAACAAAGGGUAAUCAAUUGCUGAUCAUCGAUUACGUUUGAGAUAGUCGAAGGAUGUGGAUGUUGUGAACGGAAAUCGGAGCGAGAAUUGCUCCUGUUUGUAGAACGGUUACCUCCUGAGUUACCUGUAAAACUUAAAACACGAUGCAUGCAAAUAUAUAUGGGUUAUUGUAAAAAUUUAAACAUGAUGCAAAUUCCCUUCGGACCAUGAGAGUUGUCUUUGGAUGACGAGGAUGAUGUCCUUAGACUAUGACGUCCUGGGCCAUGAAGCGUUUGAUAAGGGAUUCGCCGGCUAUGAAAUGAUGUCCUCGGUCCAUAAGGAUGGUGCCUUUGGACUAUGACGCCUUUGAAUAAUGAUGUGCAAUUUUGAGAGAUCCUCAGGCCAUUGCAUGAUGUCUUCGGGCUACGAGGAUGGUGGCUUUGGACUAUUAUGCCUUCGAACAAUGUGGUGGUGUUUCAGCCUAUGAAAUGCAAGUAUGUGGUAAUAUCGAUCGCUUGAUAAAGGAAAUAGAUGAUUCCUAGACAUUCACUAAAAAGAGACAAGACAAGGCUUAGUCUUAUAUGAGAUGAGGGCAACGCUUAGCCCGUUGUAAAGAAAGGAGAUAAUGCUUAAUCUUAUGCCGUGUAACAUAGACAGAGUUUAGUCUCAUGCAAGGGAAGGCGAUGCCUAUCCUAAUGCCAUAAUGGAGGCAGUGCUUUGCCUCGUGAGAGAAAGAGAGACAGUGCUUAGUCUCAUGUGAGCAAGGAAGUGUUUACCCUUAUGCAAUAAUGGAGACAGUGCUUAGUCUCAUGCGCGAAAAGGCAAUGCUUAACCUUAUGCAAUAAUGGAGGCAAUACUUAGCCUCAUGCAAUAAUGAAGAUAAUGCUCAGUCUCAUGCAAGCAAGGCAAUGCUUAGCCUUAUGCAAUAAUAGAGAUAAUGCUUAGUCUCAUGCAAACAAUUGAGAUAAACAAUUGAGAUAAUGUUUAGUCUCAUGCAAAGAAAGGUAGUGCUUAGCCUUAUGCAAUAAUGGAGAUAAUGCUUAGUCUCAUGCAAGGAAUGGAGACAGAUCAUAGUCUCAUGAAAAUAAAGGCAAUGCUUAGCAUUAUGCAAUAAUGGAGAUAAUGCUUAGUUUCAUGCAAAGAAUGGAGACAUAGUUUAGUCUAAUGCAAAGAAUGGCAGUGCUUAGCCUUAUGCAAUAAUGGAGAUAGUGAUUAGUCUCAUGCAGAGAAUGGAGACAAUGUUUAGUCUCAUGCAAGGGAGGGCAAUGCUUAGCCUUAUGCAAUAAUUGAGAUAGUGCUUAUUCUCAUGCAAAGAAUGGAGACAGUGUUUAGUCUCAUGCAAAAAAAGGCAGUGCUUAGCCUUAUGCAAUAAUGGAGACAAUGCUUAGUCUCAUGUAAAGAAUGGAGACAGUGUUUAGUCUCAUGCAAUGAAAUGCAGUGCUUAGCCUUAUGCAAUAAUGGAGGAAGUGCUUAGUCUCAUGCAUAGAAUGGAGACAGUGUUUAGUCUCAUACAAGGGAAGGCAAUGCUUAGCCUUAUGCAAUAAUGGAGACAGUGCUUAGUCUCAUGUAAAGAAUGAAGACAGUGUUUAGUCUCAUGCAAGGGAAGGCAAUUCUUAGCCUUAUGCAAUAAUGGAUAUAGUGCCUAGUCUCAUGUAAAGAAUGGAGACAAUGCUUAGUCUCAUGCAAGGAAAGGCAAUGUUUAGCCUUAUGCAAUAAUGGAGACAAUGUUUAGUCCCAUGCAAGGAAUGGAGACAAUGCUUAGUCUCAUGCAAGAAAGGCAGUAUUUAGCCUUAUACGGUGAUGGGGGCAGUGCUUAGCCCUAUGCAGGAAGAAUAAUGAUUGAAUGCGAAAAGGCAAAGUAUUUCUUAGCUUGAUGCAUUUGCGUUUGGCGACUUUUGUCGGUGUGAAGAUAGCAAUCUUGUUGUGUAUAUAUAUUUUGUGGACGUUCUUGUUAUAUCCAUUGUGCCUGUAUCCAAAGGAAAAUUAUGAGUUUGGAGGGGAAAGGUUAGUUCGUGCUCUCGAUUCAUUGCUUUGCGUUUGUUCCUAUCUUGAGGUCUCGUUUGAGUUUUCCCUGGUAACGUCUAGCUACUAUAGAAUGAAAUUUUUGAAAACAUGCAUUUGUGAUAAAUUGUUUAUACAUAAGAAAUGUAGUUGUUUGAAAUAUAUGAUGAUUCAUGAGAGCAAAUAAUUUGUUGAAUCGAUGACUGUGACAUGCCUUUGAGACAUCGCAACCACUUUGACUCGGAAUUUUGAGGAUCCUCCUAAACAUUCUGCCACGGUUUAAAUGCAUUCUUCUAGCGAUACAUUACUUGGCGAUUCUAAACAUAAUGAGAUCGGGUGAACUCGAGUUGUUGCCCCAGUUUAUUACCAUAGGGGGAAUGAAGAAUUUAUUAUGAUUUGACCGAACCCACUGGGCUGCCUACGUAUCCCCUCUUAAACAGGAAUCAGGUUAAGCGUAGUUAAGGUUACAUCAAAUAGAAAGUGCAAACAUAAUCUUAAACAUAAUAUCUCUUGACUGUGUCUGAAUUGAUAGGUUUUGGCCAUAUCUCUCCAUCCAUCUCUUUGAGUAUGAGUGCUCCUCCUGUCAGUACUCAGUGAAUCAUGUAAGGGCCCUGCCAAUUGGGUGAGAAUUUCCCCUUUGCUUUAUCCUUAUGUGGGAAGAUCCGUUUCAAUACCAAUUGCCUCGGUGUGAAUUUCCUUAACCUAACCUUUUUGUUGAAAGCUCUUGCCAUUUUGUUUUGGUAGAGUUCACUGAGACACACUGCGUUCAAUAUCUUACCAUCAAUGAGAGCUAGUUAUUCAUACCGGUUCCAUACCCAUUCUGCGUUGUUGAGCUUGACUUCUUAUAUGAUUCUUAAGGAAGGGAUCUCCACUUCAGUGGGAAUAACGACUUCAGUAGUGUAAACCAGUAGGUAGGGGGUUGACCUAGUGGACAAGCGAACAGUGGUGCGAUACUCGAGUAAAGAAAAUUGUAGCUUUUGUGCCAUUGCUUGUAGUUGUUCACCAUUUUCCUCAAUAUCUUCUUGAUGUUCUUGUUAGCGGCUUCUACGGCUUCGUUCAUUUGUGGCCUGUAUGCUGUAGAGUUCCGAUGCUUGAUCUUGAAUAUUUCACACAUAGCUUUCAUCAAGUCACAGUUGACAUUGGUGGCAUUGUCAGUAAUGAUUGACCCAGGUACUCCAAAUCGACAAACAAUGCGAUCCCGGACAAAAUCCACUACAGCCAUGUUAGUCAUAGACUUGUAGGAUGCAGCUUCAACCCAUUUUUUGAAGUAGUCUAUGGCCACCAAAAUUAACCUGUGUCCGUUUGAAGCAGCGGGUUCGAUUGGUCUGAUGACAUCCAUGCCCCAAGCAGAGAAAGGCUAGGGUAAACUCGUUGCAUUAAUCUCGUUGGGCGGUAAUCAUAUCAUAUUAGCAUGUAUCUGACAUUGGUGACACUUUUGAACAUAUUUGAUAUAGUCUGUUUCCAUAGUCAUCCAAACAUACCUUGCUGUUAAUAUCUUCUUGGUCAUAACGAAACCGUUCAUGUGGGGUCCACAGGUUCCAGCAUGUAUUUCUUCGAGCAAUCUAGAUGCCUCCUUGGCAUCGACACAUCGCACUAAUCCUAAGUGAGGAUUUCUUCUAUACAGAAUUCCUCCGCUUUGAAAGAAAUGACUGGCCACUCUUCGGAGUGUGCUCUUCUGAGUGUGUGUAGAAUUCCCUUGAUAUUCUCCCUUUUCUAAGUUUUCUUUGAUGUCAUGGAACCACGGAUUUCCGUCAAACGCUUCUUCAAUAUGAGCACAAUAAGCUGGCUGCUUAUGAAUUCCUAUUGGGAUAUGAACGAUGAAAUUCUUGUUUGGGUGUUGUAUCAUUGAAGACAAGGUGGCUAAUGCAUCUACAAACUCAUUCUGAAUCCUUGGAACAUGUUUGAACUCUAUCUUUUUGAACCUCUUGAUCAACUCCUGUACACAAUGCAAGUACAGUAAAAAUUUGGUAUUCUUAGUAGCCCAUUCUCCUAGAACCUGAUGCACCAAUAGAUCUGAAUCUCCGAUUACCAGCAGCUCCUGAAUGUUCAUAUCGACGGCUAACCUGAGUCUCAAGAUGCAGGCCUUAUAUUCUGCCAUAUUGUUGGUACACAGGAACCUGAGUUUUGCAGAUACCGGGUAAUGUUGACCAGUUUAUAAUACUAAGACAGCCCCGAUGACCACUCCCUUGAAGUUUGUUGCUUAGUCGAAGAACAUCCUCCAACUGUCGUAUGCUUCGGUAAUAUCCUCUCCUAUAAAUGAUACCUCUUUGUUGGGAAAAUACGUCUUCAGUGGUUCGUAUUCUCCGUCUACGGGAUUUUUUACCAAAUGAUCAGCCAAUGCUUUCCCUUUGACUACCUUCCGAGUUACAUAGAUGAUAUCGAACUCACUCAGUAAUAUCUUUCACUUUGCUAACUUACCCAUAGGCAUGGGCUUCUGAAAGAUGUAUUUUAGCGGAUCCAUCCUUGAUAUGAGAUAUGUAGUGUACGCAUAAAAAUAGUGUCUCAACUUCUAGGCUAUCCAUGUCAAAGCACAGCAGGUGCGCUCCAACAAAGAGUACCCGUCUUCGUAAGGCGUGAACUUCUUGCUCAGAUAAUAUAUCGCCUGCUCCUUCCUCCCAGUUUCAUCAUGUUGUCCUAAAAUGCAACAAAAGGCCCCAUCCAACACAGACAUAUAAAGCAACAUAGGUCUUCCUGGUUCUGGUGGGACCAACACGGGUGGUUUAGAUAAAUACUCCUUGAUUUUGUCGAAGGCUUUCUAGCAUUUUUCAGUCCAGCUUGUUGCAGCAUUUUUCUUUAGCAUUUUAAAGAUUGGCUCACAUAUCACCGUUGAUUGUGCUAUGAAACGGCUAAUAUAAUUGAGGCGCCCUAGAAAACUCAUCACAUAUUUCUUAUUCUUUGGCGGUGGCAAGUCUUGGAUAGCUUUGAUUUUUGACGGGUCUAGCUCAAUACCUCGACGACUGACGAUGAAACCUAACAACUUUUCAGCAGGGACUCCGAAUGCACAUUUUGCGGGGUUCAACUUCAAGUUGUAUUUUCGAAGCAGAUCAAAAAGUUUCUUCAGGUCUGCUAUGUGAUCCGAACUCCUUUUAGAUUUGAUGAUAAUAUCAUCCACGUAGACCUCUAUUUCCUUGUGUAUCAUGUCGUGGAAGAUAGUCGACAUGGCCCUCAUGUAGGUGGCCCCAGUGUUUUUCAAACCAAAUGACAUUAUUUUGAAACAAUAUAUCCCCACGGUGUGAUAAAGGCAGUCUUUUUGGCAUCCUCUUCAUCCAUUCAAAUCUUAUGGUAUCCUGCGAAGCAAUCCACAAAGGAUUGGAGUUCAUGUUUGGCGCAGUUGUCAAUAAGUAUGUGUAUGUUAGGCAGCGGGAAAUCAUCCUUAGAAUUUGCUCUGUUCAGAUCUCGGUAAUCGACACAUACUCUAACUUUCCCAUCUUUAUUUGGAACUGGCACACUGUUGGCUAGCCAAGUCAGGUAUUCGACCACUCGGAGAACCUUAGCUUUAAUUUGUUUGGUGACCUCCUCUUUUAUCUUCAAACUCUUAUCCGGCUUGAACUUUCUGAGCUUCUGUUUUACCGGUGGACACAUGGGAUUGGUAGGUAGCUUAUGAACUACUAUGGAUGUGCUCAACCCAGUCAUAUCGUCAUAGGACCAUGCGAAAAUAUCCUCAUAUUCUUUUAGAAACCUGAUAUACUCUUCCUUUUUUGUUGGUGAUAGACAGAUGCUUAUGCGAGUUUCCUUGACUAUUUCAGAAUCCCCUAAAUUAGCGGCCUCAGUUUCCUCCAAAUUAGACUACGGUUUGUUUUCAAAAUUCUCUACUUCUUUGAUAAUUUCCUCAGGUAUUACAUCAUCCUCUAGAUCUUCCGAAUCACUGUGCUUAUGUUGCGUUGUCUCAUUACAUGUCAAAGUCGUAGGUUCACCAGGAUAUGUAAUUAUUAUGCUGAAAAUAAUGUAGAAAUAUAAUAAUAAAUAUGAAAAGCAGUAAUGCAUUAAUAAAACUUUAAAAUAUCAACAAGUGCGACUCGAUGGCUCGAGCAAUUAUUUCAAAACAAAAUACUGAAAAUGUCUUAAAUGCUCAAAACAAUUUGUAAUCAAGUAAUGCUAAUUUGCCAGGCUACCCAGGAACUCGGCAGGCUCGGGAUGGUGUAGCGGUCCAGUUCUUGAGAACAACUCCUUCUUCCAUUGUCUGAAUGGUAAGAUCUUACUCCAAAGGUCGUCAGUGCCAGUCUCAACAACAGGAGGCUUAGGUGCAGCUUCCUUGCUUGUUCCUCCCAGAUUCUCAAGUUUGUAAACUCUGCCAGUUCUAGUCAUACCAUGCGCGGCACCUGUUUCUUCCAUUUUGGCUUUUCCCUUUCUACUUGCUUCCACAACACAAUUCCACGAGACGACAUCAAACUCGUAAGAUGGUGUGGGAGCUACCAUUACAGUGAAGGGUGUAGCUAUCUCAACUUCAAAUGGCACCUGGGUUUGUACCACAACUAGCGUGAGGGUGACCGAAGAUGUUUUAGGAGCGUCUCUUUCUCGAAUGAGUCCAAUGGACACUUCCAGAUUCUACUCUUCAUCAAUUUAUAUCACCUCUGUGAUCUAGGAGAGGGUUAUUGCGGACGUUCGGUGCAAGUUCCCUUGCUUGUAUAACCUUAGUGUCGAUUAGGGCCUUCAGUAUUUUAUACAGUUGGGCUAUGGGUUCAGCAAUUGGGGUGUAUUGUCAAGGAGGUCCGCGGUUGAAAUUUGGACGUGGCUUUGGGUAGCUUUGGCGGGCAGGUGGAGAUGAAUGGUAAUAUACAGGUUGAGUGUGGUAGGUAUGGUAGGUGGUGGCAGGGUAUUGGUAUUUUGGGGGUGAGGGUUGAUAAGUGGGUGGAGGUGUUUGGUAUGUGAGGGGAGACUUAGGGCCUUAGGCUACCAUCACGGCACCCAUUUCUUUCUUCUUUGAGAUACCUCCUCAUUGUACAACUUUAUUCGUGGCUUGCAGCGCCUCGAAAUUAGUUACCAUCCCACUCUUGAUUCCUUCUUCUAUUCUUUCCGAUAACUUGAUGAUGUCUGAGAACUUGUGAUUUUCGAUGACCAUCAACCGUUUAUAAUAUUACGGAUCUUGUGCUCUAACAAAGAACUUGUUCAUUUGUUCUUCUACAAGUGUUGGCCUUACUUUUGUGGCCUCUGAUCUCCAACUAGUAGCAUAAUCGCGGAAGGUUUAUGUCGGCUUCUUCUUGAGGUUUUGAAUGUAGAAAACAUCUGGCGCAUUUUCCGUGUUGAACCUAAAUCUGUCCAUGAAAUCUGAUGCCAUACUUUCCCAAUUAGCCUACUUCUUUGGGUUUUGACUGAUAUACCAAGACAAAGCAUCUCCUGUAAUUCUUACCCACUCUUACAAGCUUGUCGCAAAACAUUCUUAGAUGCACCUUCAGAUCACCAAUGCCAUCGAACAUUUCGAACUUUAGAGGUUUGUAACCCUCUGGCAGUUCCACAUCUGGCUGAAUACACAGAUCUUUGUAAUUCAGACCUUCAAUGCCUUUCCCUCCUUCAACACUCUAGUCCCUCCCUGUGAGUUUCUUGAGUUCCUUCGCCAUGUUUCUAAUGAGCAGGUACUUCUCAAUCGAUUCAGGUAUGCAUAGGGUUUGUUGCGGGGUAUGGGGUAAGGUUUCCAUAUAUUUUGGAUUGCUUUGAUGAGCUCAUGGAACUUGGAUAUAUGGGUGGUCGUUGAUUGAGUUUUGUGGAUUGGGAAUAGGUUGUGGUGCAUUUUGGGAGUGUGAUAUGUAGUGGUUUGCGGGUAAUAAGUUGGAUGAUGGUGAUGUUGUUGAGGGGUUUGCACUGGUGGUGGGUUAAGGUUCUGGGGAGGUACGGGAUUAUGAUACUGGUGUGGUGUGGGAGGAUUUGGAGCCAUGGGUGGUGGGUUCUGGUUUUGUGUGUUUUGUGGUGGUAUUUGGUUUUGGGUAGUCAGGUUUUGCUGGUUGAUGUCGGGAACAUUGAGAGUAAGGGAAAGGUUUGCCAGAUUUCGGUCCUGCUCAAGCUCGCCCUGUAGUUCCAGGAUUUUCUGCUCCAAACAUAAGACCAACUCAUUCUGUCCCAGAGUACUUCUACCAUAUGAAGUUUCAACAUUUUCCGUCACAACAUUGUCUUUCCGGAUACCACUUAAAUCAUCCAUUUUCCCUUUGCCCUUGCUUUUGCUUUUCGGGUCACUAUGUGGAGGAGGGGGUAGAUGACCUCUGAAUCUAGUAUGGUAUGCUGACGAUGCCAGUAUGUACGAACCAACCUUUGGGAAUGGGAGUAAUCAGAAAGAAAAAAAAAAGCAAAAGGUAAACUAGUUAGUAAGGUGGAAUAAAAGAGUGUUCGCAAUAUUUAUACAUGUUUCACAAAGUCAUGCAAUAAUUCACGUCCUAAUUUGCGGACCUCAUUGUGCCUGAGGUAGGCCUAAGCGACACAUAGACUUGGAGAAAAUUGGUGCCAACGUUUGCUUCAUUUCAUUUAUGCGAAAGUGAACCAAAACAAUCUUUUACUAGAUCGACAGUAAUAUAAUAAAAGUUACUAAUGGCAUUUAGCCUUAUUACAUCGAAAUAUAAUCUAAGCUAGAAAGCAGUAAAGAACAUCAUCUUCUAAUCUACUUGGUCCCUGAAGGACCUUCUCCAUGCUUGGAUCUUUUAACAUCAUCAAUCAUGUUUCCCAGAUCGCGCAUAUCUAGCAAUAAUUAAGAUUUUGCCAGCUUCCCUCCUUCAUCGUUGUCCAUGCCUUGACAAUCCGAAAGUCGCUUUCUUAUCUUCCCUUUUAGCUCUAUCAGUCCCUGUUCCAGGUAUUCCAAUCUUUCCAUUGACUUAGUGGCAAUCUCCUUCUAUUCCCUUAUUGCCUCCAUGUUCACUUUGUGCUGCUCUAGAUGUUUAGAUUUAGACUCAAACACCCUUUUGCGUAGCCUCUUGUACUUCACCUGUGACUCAGCCGCUUCGUCUAUGAUCCUAUCCUUCAGAUUAACCCCUGGUUUGAUGUCCCCAGCUACGUCAUCUUCAAGCCAUGAUAGAUAGUAGUACAUAGGAUCGGCAUGAUACCUGUUUGGCUCAAUAGUUUCUCCUUCCACAAUGAUCUUUUGGUUCCACAUGUGUUGCGCUUCGAACUUGAAUGGGAUGACAUCUCCCUUAGAAUCUGCCUUGUACUGGACCAUGUUGGAAACCCGGGGUAUGACUUGUUUUCUUCCAGCUUGUCUCAUUACCCUUAUAGGAGCGUAAGGGUAGAUGCCUCGCAGCCCGAUCAGUAACAAAUGGUAGUUCCUUUUGAUCUGAUGAUGAACUCACUACUAGGAAACCAAUCAAACAUCUAAUGCACUUGCUCGUCUAUCAGAUUGCUAAAGAAAAAGGGCCCAACUUACAACAUUUUUAGGAUUUGCAAACCUCUCAGGGAUAAACGUCAUUUUCUUUGGGUGAUGGUUGGCUAUGUAGUCAUUUAGUGGCCUUCACAAAGGUUGUUGACGAUACUCACCCCUCUGAAAGUGUUCCAGCAACCAGACUUGUAGUACUAGAUUGAAACUCUCAAAGUGUCCAAACCCACUCUUGCACCGAUCUAGAGCACGGUACAUCUUGGCUAAGAUCAUUGGAAUGAUAGUAUAAGUUUGUCCUUCGAUACCAUCCAUCAAGGUCCUGGCGACCAUGGCUAAGCGAGUAUGAAUUCUUCCUCCUUUCAUUGGAAAGAUCAACAACCCUAGGAAGCAGACGAUGAAAACAUAAACCCGGCGAUGCAACCAUCCCAAAGAAGUAAUGGAUAGUUCAUCAUGAUAAAGACGAUAUGACUUGCUAUGCCCAUAAUGCUCAUAAAGAAACUCAAAAGGGAUGUAUGAUUUCUUUAGAAAAAGCAGUUCAUCAUUUUUCUUAAAACCCAACAUUUUCAGAAAACCGUGGGGAGUGCAAUUCUCUGGUACUUGCAUGUUAGUGUCCUUUGGGAUUGUAAGGCCCCGUAAAUAUUUCACCUACAACCCGGGGUUUCGUAAUGCCGGGGUAGACUUAUGCGUUGUUGAACAGUGCAUUAGGGAUUUGAAGAAAAGUUUUAGAAAUAUAGGGCAUUUCUGCAGUCCAUUCUGUGGUCGCAGAACUGGUUUGCGGGCCGCAUAUCGGCCUCAGACUGAAGCAGAGAACUAUGCAAAUAUUUCAGACCAUUAUGCGGCCGCAUAAUCAUUUUGCGGGCCGCAUAACUCAUCGUAGACCCAGCAUGAAAAUAUCUAGAGGGAAGUUCUGCGGCACAUUAUGCGACCACAGAACAGGUCUGCAGAUCGUAGACUGGUCGCAGAGUGGGGCAGACUUGCCCAGUUCCGGAGGGUCAUUAUGCGACUCAUUUUGCAUGCCGCAGAAGCAUUAUGCGGUCACAUAUGUGACCGUAGAUCUGUGUCGGGGCUUCAUUUUCCUAAUUUUAUAAACAUUUCGUUUAUCUAGCCUAAGGGUACAUUUUUGGAGUAUCACUUCUCAUUUUAGAGAGGAGAGAACUAUUCUAGAGAGAGGAAAGGGAGGGUUAAGGAUUUCACUACUCCACCUUGAUCGGACCUUGGGAUUGCGUUGAAUGGAACUUGCUAGGGUUUCAAAGAGGUAAGUAUUUCUUUCCCCAAUUCUUCAAUUUAUGGUUUGGGGUUCAUUAUGGGUGAUAAUGGUAGAUUUAUCACAUGCAAGAGCUAAUAGGGAUUGUAGGGAAGUUGUUGAACAAUCUUGGGUGGUUUUGUUGUUGAAUUAUUGAGGGAAAGGUUGGGUCAUAGUUGUAACUGCCCUUGUCAUACAAAUUUCUCUAAUGGUGCUUGUAAUUCUCCCCUCCUCUAUAGAUUGACAUCGUUAGGAGUGUUGGGACAUUAUUGUUGCAUUACGAAAAGCUCUUUCGAGGUAUGUUGGCUAAACUCUCCUCUUAGAAUUGAACCCCACGACACCCUUGUAAGUCCCGUGAUGCUUAUUAUAAAUUGAAUUAUUCCAAAUAAGCAUUGUGUCAAAACAAAUAUGCAUUGAAUAUGUAUUCCAAAAAUCUUGUUUUGUUGAGUUACCGUUUGAGAAUAUGGUUUAAGCAUGGGCUGUGUGUUAUUGUAUAAAAGAAAUCAUAUGUGCCUAAGAUCCUAAAUAGCUCAAGUAUGUGUUAAAGUCUUAAUUUGAAAGGCCUUGUUGCUGAUUAUCCAUGAUGAUGAUUGAAAGUGAAAUAGUGAACAUGAAUUAUGAAGUACGACCAACGUGCCAAGAAUGAUAUUGCGUUUUGGCCAAUGGUGCCAACAAAAUGAAUGAUAUGUAAAAGAAUGUGAAAUGAGUGGUAAAUCCUUUUAAUAACAAAUGCCUUGGGAGUAUCGUUUAGCCACCGAUAAAGGGUAGGUCGGAACAACCUAACCCCGAAACUACACGUCCCAGUGUAGGAAUGAUGGAGGGGAAAUCCCCGUAUUAAUGUGAUGAGACUGUUUCCCCUUAUAUGGGAUGAGAUUGGUAUGUUGAGAUGUUUCCCCUUAAAUGGGAUGAGAUUAUUGCUAGCAAGAUGUGAUGCGAUGUUGAUCCACACGACAUGGUGGUGAGACGGCACAGCCGAUCGGGCUGAGAUCGAACGCCAUGCCAUACACAUGGUAGUAUUGUGAGUGUAUGUCUCAAGGUGAGACGACUUAGCCGGUCGGGCUAAGAUCGGAUUCCGUGCUAAAACACAGUGGUGUAUCGAUGCUAAAGAUCUCCUAACUGAAAUUACUAAAACUUACUUGAAAUUUACUGUUUCCCUAAUUUGACACUUUGAUACCGUUUGAGUCUCUUAUUGAUUUCAUGUUUUAUUCUUCAUUUACUGUUACUCGUUCUAUUGAGGGGGUGUUCAGUUUUACAUACUAGUACUAUUCUAUAUGUACUAACAUCCCUUUUGCUGGGGGCGCUGCAUCUUUAAUGGAUACAGGUGGUUUCAUAGCAGGUAGUGUUUAUUAGUGAUAGUAGCACACCCUCUCCUCAGCUAACUUGGUGAGCCCCACUUUAUUUCGGGGUCCUGUAUCUCUUGACCUUUGUACAUAGCAUUUGGAGGUAUAGCCGAGGCCUUAUUGCCGGCACUGUCAUAACACUCAUUUUUUUUCCCAUUAGAGGCUCCGUAGACAUAGUGUGGGUUGUAUCUGUUUUUGGGAAGGUUAAACUAAAAAUGUUGUAAUUGUAUCAUCUGUUCCACUUUAACUAUGAUUGUACAAUGUAAUGUUUUGGAGACUUGUUAAUGACGUAGCUAAGGGAAAUGAACUGGUGUUAUUCACAUGACCUCUUACUGUCUAAUUAAUGAAAUGUAUUCUUCUCUUUAUUUAUGGGUGAGUUGGGUAGAUGGCACUGUGCAGGUUUGCUCAAAUAGGGUAACUCUGUUGAGCGCCCGUCGCGCUCCCCGAGGUCGGGGCGUGACAAACUUGUUAUUAGAGCCUAAGGUUUUAAAGUGUCCUAGGGUGUCUCGGAGCCGCGUCUAGUAGAGUCCUUAUCGGUGUGUUGUCGACCACAUCUAUAAUUAGGAGGCUACUUGGGCUUUUAGGAAUAAUACCCUUCUUUGAUGAUCUAGAAGAUCGUGUGAUAAAGCUGAUUGUAAGAUUGUUCCUCCUUUAACUCAUGCACUGCUCUAAUUUUCAGUAUAUGGCGCCUAGGAUAAAAUCAAGAACUGGCCAAUGAGCCAAUGCCACCCCAGGAGUGGCAGUUGAUCCUUUACUUGUGAGCACCUGAGGGGUGAGAAUAUUCCCCCGAAUACUACAUUGCCUGAUUCCACUACACCUGAGCAGACCGCACCAGUUCUUACACCUACUGAGGAUGUAACGAUUCCUCUAAUGGAUAUUCCAGUCCCACCUUCAGCCGCAGUUUUCGAUCCCGGUGUAUCUGAUGGGGAUCAUAGGGGAGCCAUACCAAUGUUGGCUCAGAUAGUGGCUUCCCAGGCCUAGAGAUCAGAUGUUGCGCCCACUUCUUCUAGUCAGCCAGGGGAUUCCACUAGUUCCAGGGUGAAUAGAUUUCUCCAGUGGACCCUCCAGUAUUCACAGGUACUGAUCCUGAGGAGGACCCCCAGGAUUUAAUUGACGAGAUGCGCAAGACCCUCUAUGUUAUGUGGGCUACGGAGAUAGAGGGAGCAGAUUUGGCCUCUUACCGCCUGAAAGGGGUGGCCUAUUCUAGGCUUGAGAUGUGGGAGGACUCCCAUGAGGAGGGGAGCCCUAUGGCGAGGUGGAGUGAGUUUGCCGAUGAUUUCAUUGAUCUUUUCUUGCCUGCCGAUACUAAGGCAGCCCGUUCCGCUGAGUUUGAGAACCUAAAACAAGGUAGCAUGAGUGUGUGGGAGUAUCAUAUGAAAUUCGCGCGCCUGUCCAAAUAUGCCAUCUACAUGUUGCCUACUAUGGAGGCUAGAGUGCGCCGGUUUGUGGAGGGCCUUAGCCCCUUGGUUAUUAAUGAGGCCCCUACAGCUACCUUGAAUUCUGAUAUGAACUAUGGUAAGAUGGUGGCAUUUUCUUAAGCCAUAGAGACCUGCAAACUGAAGAACAAAAUCGAGGGAGAGAGUAGCCACAAGGCUCGGUCAGCGGGCAACUUCAGUGGUACUUCUAAGGGGGUCAUCAGGGCCAUCCCAGUCCUUUACUCAGUCUUCAGUUAGUGCACCGCCAUCGGGGCCUAGUCAGCAGCAGGGGGACCAGUUUAGGCCCAGCCAGGGUAACAGGGGAUCCUACCAGCAGGGUCGGUCUGGUGGAAGAUUUCAGCAGCAGCGGAGGUCCCCAUGCCCUAGGUGCGGGAAGAUGCACGUUGGGAUCUGCUACAUAGACCAGUCCAUUUGCUACGGGUGUGGAAUGAGGGGUCAUAUUAAAAGGGAUUGUCGUUCGUCUCACCAGAGCAUGGGCAGGGGUAAACCACAGCUGCCUAGUUUUGCAGCUACUACAUCCGUAUCACCUCGUCCAGCUCGAGGAACCCCAGCACCCGUAGGGCGUGGUGUAGCUAGGGGUGGCACAUAGAGUUUGGGAAGACCCAACCAUUUUCAUGCUAUGAGGGGUCGCCAGAGUUCAAAGGCUUCUCCAGAUGUUGUCACAGGUAUAUUGACUUUCCAAUCUCAUGAUGUGUAUGCUCUUAUUGAUCCCGGUUCCACUUUGUCCUAUGUCACUCCCUAUGUUUCUAUGGAAUUUGGGAUAGAACCGGAAUAGCUCCAUGAGCCAUUCUCUGUAUCUACUCCGGUUGGUGAGUCUAUUGUGGCCGUGUGAGUCAAUAGGGAUUGUAUUUGUCACGGUGCGUGGUCAGGACACCAUGGCUGAUCUCAUUGAAUUGGGGAUGGUUGAUUUUGAUGUAAUAAUGAGGAUGGAUUAGCUUUAUUCAUGUUUCGCUAAGCUUGACUGUCGAACUAGAAAUGUUAGGUUUGAAUUUCCAACUGAGUCAGUGAUUAAAUGGAAGGGGGAUGAUGUGGUGCCGAAAGGUAGGUUUAUUUCUUACCUUAAAGCCACAAAUAUGAUUAACAAGGGGUGUAUCUACCAUUUGGUAUGGGUUACAGACACCGAUGCGGAGGCACCUACACUUGAGUUUGUGCCUGUUGUGAAUGAAUUUCUAGAGGUAUUUCUGGAUGAGCUCCCUGGGAUCCUACCAGACAGGGAGAUUGACUUUGGGAUUGAUGUGAUGCCAGGCACGCAUCCUAUAUUUAUUCCACCCUACAGAAUGGUACUAACAAAAUUGAAGGAGCUAAAAGAACAAUUGAAAGAUUUAUUAGAGAAGGGUUUCAUCCGGUUGAGUGUGUUGCCUUGGGGCACACCAGUUCUAUUUGUAAGAAAGAAGGAUGGGUUGCUAAGAAUGUGUAUUGACUAUCGGAAGCUCAACAAGGUUAUAAUAAAAAAUAAGUACCCACUGCCAAGGAUAGAUGACUUGUUUGAUUAAUUACAGGGUGCUAAGUACUUCUCCAAGAUCGAUUUAUGAUCCGGGUAUCACCAGUUGAAGAUCAGGGAGCAGGAUAUUCCGAGAACAACUUUCAGGACCCGAUAUGGGCACUUUGAAUUUUUGGUAAUGUCUUUUGGGCUAACAAAUGCCCUUGCAGCUUUCAUGGAUUUUAUGAAUAGGGUCUUCAAAACUUUCCUCGACUCCUUCGUAAUAGUGUUUAUUGACGAUAUUCUUGUUUAUUCGCGGAGUCGGGAGGACCAUGUUGAUCACCUUAAGGCAGCUUUGCAAGCCCUAUAUCAGCACCAAUUAUAUGCGAAGUUUUCAAAAUGUGAAUUUUUGCUUGAAUCUGUCACAUUCUUGGGUUAUGUUAUCUCUAGAGUAGGAAUUCAGGUUGACCCGCAGAAAAUUUCAGCCGUAAAGAAUUAGCCUAGACGUACUACCCCAACAGAGAUUCACGAUUUCUUGGGCUUAGCUGGAUAUUACAUGAAGUUUGUGUAGGGGUUCUGCACUCUUGCCUCUCCGUUGACUAAAUUGACGCAGAAGGUUGUUAAGUUCCAAUGGUCAGAUGCUUGUAAAAGGAGCUUCCAAGAGUUGAAAUCCAGAUUAACUAUGGUACCGGUGUUUACUGAUGGAUUUGUGGUAUAUUGUGAUGCUUCAAAGAUCGGUCUUGGGUGUGUAUUGAUGCAACAUGGCAAGGUAAUAGCUUAUGCUUCUAGGCAACUCAAGAAUCAUGAAAAGAACUAUCCUACACAUGACUUAGAGCUUGCGGAGGUGGUAUUUGCAUUGAAGAUUUGGCGUCAUUAUCUGUAUGGGGUCCAUGUAGAUAUAUUCACGGACCAUAAGAGCCUACAAUACAUUUUCAAACAGAAGGAAUUGAAUCUGAGGUAGAGAAGAUGGCUUGAGUUACUCAAGGAUUAUGACAUUGAUAUUCUGUAUCAUCCGAGGAAGGCUAAUAUUGUGGAGGAUGCUCUUAGCUAGAAAUCUCUGUGUAGUUUGGCUCAAUUUGUGGCAUAUCAAAGGUUGUUGGUCAAGGAGGUUCAUCCGUUGGCUAUUUUGGGAGUUCGUCUUGCGGACUCUAGUGAAUGAGGGGUGAUUGUUCAAAAUAGGGUUGAAUCGUCGCUUGUGGUAGAAGUCAAGGAUAAGCAAUUCAACGAUCCAUUGUUGGUACAACUGAAAAAGGGGAUUCAUAAACAUAAGAUCAUGGCCUUUUCUCUUGGCAUGGAUGAUGGUACCCUAAGGUACCAAGGUCGUCUAUGUGUUCCAAAUGUGGAUGCUCUCCGGGAAAGAAUCAUAACCGAGGCUCACACUUCUAAGUAUUCUGUGCACCCGGGCUCAAAAAAGAUGUAUCAUGAUCUUAGUGAAAUCUAUUGGUGGAACGAUAUGAAGAGGAAUGUAGCGAACUUUGUGGCAAGAUGUCCAAAUUGUUAGCAAGUGAAAGCCGAACAAUAAAGGCCCGGUGGGUUGGCACAGAACAUAGAGAUUCUGAUGUGGAAGUGGGAGAUGAAUAAUACGGACUUUGUGGUAAGGCUACCUCGCACUCCUCGCAAAUUCAACUCGAUUUGGGUGAUUGUGGAUCGACUCACGAAAUCAGCACACUUUUUAUCUGUUAAGGCUACCGACACAGCAGAACAGUAUGCUCAGUUUUACAUCAAGAAAAUAGUCAGGUUACAUGGAACUCCGGUUUCUAUUAUCUCAGAUCGAGGGGCACAGUUUACGGCUAAUUGUUGGAAGAAAUUUCAGAAAGGUUUGGGUACCCAGGUGAAUCUUAGUACAGCCUUUCACCCACAUACUGACGGGCAGGCAGAGCGGACUAUUCAGACGCUUGAGGAUAUAUUGCGCACUUGUGUUUUUGACAUCAAAUGUAGUUGGGAUGAUCAUUUUCCGCUCAUAGAGUUUUGCUACAAUAACAGUUAUUAUGCCAACAUUCAGAUGGCACCAUUCGAGGCUUUAUAUUGUAGAAGAUGUAGAUCUCCCAUUGGGAGGUUUGAGAUUGGGGAAGCGGAGUUGAUAGGUUAGAUCUCAUGCAUCAGACUAUGGAAAAGGUUAAGAUCAUUAAGGAGCGGUUGGAAACUGCUCAGAGUCGUCAGAAGUCCUAUUCAGAUGUUCGUCACAGGGAUUUGGAGUUCAAAGAAGAUGAUUGGGUAUUCUUGAAGGUUUCCCCUAUGAAGGGUAUAAUGCGGUUCGGUAAGAAAGGAAAAUUGAGUCUGAGGUAUGUCGGACCGUACAAAAUCAUUCAGAGGAUUGGUCAGGUGGCUUACAGGAUAGAACUACCUCCAGAAAUGACUUUAGUGCACCCGGUGUUCCACGUGUCCAUGUUGAAAAUGGUGGUUGGAGAUCCAUCGCUUAUUGUUCCGAUUGAGACCAUUAAGGUUCAUGAAGAAUUGACUUACGAAGAAAUUUCAGUUGCCAUCCUUGAUAGGAAAGUCUGAAAGUUGAGGAACUAAGAGAUUGCCUUCGUGAAAGUACUAUGGCAAAACCAGCAAGUUGAAGAGGCCACCUGGGAGGCCGAGGAAGAAAUGAGGAAGAAGUACCCUCAUUUUUUUGAAUAUCCAUGUAUUUAUAAUGUUGUGUUCUAUAAAAAUGCUAAGAGUUACCUUCUAUGAAUUAGCUAUCAUUUGUACAAUUGAUGUUCAAGGUGUUCCGUUUUGGUAGUAUACUGCCCGUGAGGCCACGGUUGGCAUUAUUUUAAUGUUAUGUUGCAUAGUUAGUUCCUAUAUAUGUUGUUAGGACUGCUUUUGGGAUUCUAUGGCUGGUGGAUAGGCCCAAUUAUAGGGGAGACUCUAGCGAAAUAUUUGGAUAUUUAUGGAGUUAGUCAAAAAAAUUGGAACUGUUGGUGUGUGUUGUAGCAACUGAGUCACAUUGGGUGCUAAUGGUGAAUUUUGACCCAUAUUCGAGGACGAAUGAUCCUAAGUGGGGGAGGAUGUAAGGACUCGUAAAUAUUUCACCUAAAACCCGGGGUUUCGUAAUGCCGGGGUAGACUUAUGUGUUGGGUUGAACAGUGCAUUGGGGAGUUGAAGAAAUAUUUUAGAAAUAUAUGGCAUUUCUGCGGUCCAUUAUGCGGUCGCAGAACUGGUCUGCAGACCGCAUGUCGGCCGCAGAUUGAAUCAAAGAACUAGGCAAAAAUUUCGGACCAUUAUGCGGCCGCAUAAUCGUUUUGCGGGCCGUAUAACCCAUCGCAGACCCAGCAUGAAAAUUUCCGGAGGGAAGUUUUGCGGCACAUUAUGCGACCGCAGACUGGUGGUAGAGUGGGGCAGACUUGCCGAGUUUCGGAGGGCCAUUAUGCGGCCCAUUUUGCGGACCGCAGAAGCAUUAUGCGGUCGCAUAUGCGACCGUAGAUAUGUGUCUGCCCUUCAUUUUUCUAAUUUUAUAACCCGACCCCCAUUUCGUCUAUCUAGCCUAAGGGUUCAUUUUUGGAGGAUUUCUUGUCAUUUUAGAGAGAGGAGAGAACUAUUCUAGAGAGAGAAAAUGGAGGGUUAAGGAUUUCACUACUCCACCUUGAUCGAACCUUGGGAUUGCAUCGAAAGGAACUUGCUAGGGUUUCAAAGAGGUAAGAAUUUCUUUCUCCAAUUCUUCAAUUUUGGGUUUGGGAUUGAUUAUGGGUGAUAAGGGUAGCUUUAUCACAUGAAAGAGCCAAUAGGGCUUGUGGGGAAGUUGUUGAACAAUCUUGGGUUGUUUUGUUGUUGAAUUGGUUGAGGGAAAGUUUGGGUCAUAGUUGUAAUAGCCCUUGUCAUAUGAAUUUCUCUAAUCGUGCUUGUAAUUCUCCCCUCCCCUAUAGAUUGGCAUCGUUAGGAGUGUUGGGACAUUAUUUUUGCAUUACGAAAAGCUCUUUCGAGGUAUGUUGGUUAAACUCUUCUCUUAGAAUUGAACCCCACAAUACCCUUGUAAGUCCCGUGAUGCUUAUUAUAAAUUGAAUUAUUCCAAAUAAGCCUUGUGUCAAAACAAAUAUGCGUUCAAUAUGUAUUCCAAAGAUUCUUGUUAUGUUGAGUUACCGUUUGAGAAUGUGGUUUAAGCAUGGGCUGGGUGUUAUUGUGUUAUGAUUUAAAAAUAUGUUUCUAAUGAAAGUUAUCAUGUCAAAUUGUGUAAAAGAAAUCACAUGUGCCUAAAACCCUAAAUUGCUCAACUAUGUGUUAAUGUCUUAAUUUGAAAGACCUUGUUGUUGAUUAUCCAUGAUGAGGUUUGAAAGUGAAAUAGUGAACAUGAAUUAUGAAUUACGACCAACGUGCCAAGAAUGAUAUUGCGUUAUGGCCAAUGGUGCCAACAAAAUGAAUGACAUGUAAAAGAAUGUGAAAUGAGUGGUAAAUCCUUUUUUAUAAUAAAUGCCUUGGGAGUAUCGUUUAGCCACCGAUGAAGGGUAGGUCGGAACAAUCUAACCCCGAAACUACACGUGUCGGUAUAGGAAUGACGGAGAGGUAAAUCCCCAUGUUAAUGUGAUGAGACUGUGUCCCCUUAUAUGGAAUGAUAUUGGUGUGUUGAGAUGUUUCCCCUUAAAUGGGAUGAGAUUAUUGCUAGGGAGAUGUGAUGUGAUGUCGAUCCACAUGGCAUGGUGGUGAGACGGCUUAGCCGAUCGGGCUGAGAUCGGACUCCGUGCUAAAACACGGUAGUGUAUCGAUUUUCCCAACUUAAAUUACUGAAACUUACUUGAAAUUUACUUUUCCCCUAAUUUGACACUUUGAUACCGUUUGAGUCUCUUAUUGAUUUCAUGUUUUAUUCUCUGUUUACUGUUACUCGUUUUAUUGAGGGGGUGUUCAGUUUUACAUACUAGUACUAUUCUAUAUGUACUAACGUUCCUUUUUCCGGGGCGCUGUAUCUUUAAUGGAUGCAGGUGGUUAUGUAGCAGGUGGUGUUGAUCAGUGAUAGAAGCACACCCUCUCUUCAGCUAACUUGGUGAGCCCCACUUCAUUUCGGGGUCCUGUAUCUCUUAUCCUUUGUACAUAGCAUUUUGAGGUAUAGCCGGGGCCUUAUUGCCGGUACUGUCAUAGCACUCAUUUGUUUUCGUUAGAGGCUCCGUAGACAUAGUAUGGGUUGUAUCUAUUUUUGGGAAGGUUAAACUAAAAAUGUUGUAAUCGUAUCAUCUGUUCCACUUUAACUAUAAUUGUACAAUGUAUUGUUUUGGUGACUUGUUAAUAAUUUAACUAAUGGAAAUGAACUGGUGUUAUUCACAUGACCUCUUAUUGUCUAAUUAAUGAAAUGUAUUCUUCUCUUUAUUUAUGGGUGAGUUGGGUAGACGGCACUGUGCAGGUUUGCUCGACCGGGGUAACUCUGUUAAGCACCGAUUGCGUUCCUCGAGGUCGGGGUGUGACGGGGAUUAUGGAAAUUCCGUCGGACUUUGGACAAGGUUUAUCUAAGCAGGUUGCUACGUCAAUAGCGCUUCAACACGUAUUAGGUUUAGCAUGAUGCAUGUACAAUUAAAAUUGGAGUGGGGUUUCUAAAAGGGUCUAAACUGGUACUCCCAAGUGACAACUUGAGAGGGAAGGGCACGGGAUCGUCAACGCUGAUCGACUAGUCUGCCAUAAAUUAGCCUCUCUGAUUUAGAAAGGGUAAUCUCAAGAAAGCACAAACACUCAUCAAGUGCUGCUAUGUUGAUAAUCGGCACGAGUGGAGUAUAAUAUGGAGCAUGCUUUAUGCAAGAAUAAUAACACAUUACCAAGUAUUUGCAUGAUAAAAGUACGUAAAAGUAGUAAAUAACAUAGCAAAGGUGGACAUGAAAAGAAGAGGAAAGAAAAGAAAGACAAAAGAGAGAAGUCAGUUUAGCUCAUGAAAACGUGCGAGAACGUAAUGAAGCAGGUAGGGAGAUAGGGAUGGGAGAGUCAUAAUAUAGCAGUCUUCGGCAAGAUGAAAGAGAUGGAAAGAGAUCAAUACAUGUCAUAGCAAAUAAAGGAGAAUAAGGUAAGGGAUGUGCAUGUCAUAGUAGUUUAAAAAAAACAAGGAAAGUAAUACACAUAAAUCAAGUUCGUCAUGGUAAGAGCCUAAGUGUUUCCCCAGUAGAGUCGCCAUACUGUCGCGCCCUGUUUUCUCAUGAAAGAGGGUUUUGACGUGUGACAACUCUUUUAAAGAGAGGUAUUAAAAGAGAAGAGUCACCACCUAACGAUUUUUAAGGUGCGUUAGGGCACCUAUUUGCAAGUAACUCUGUUUGACUAGUCUGUAUCACCAAAGAUCGGGUAAGGGCUCAAGUUACUUCGAAGAGAAGGUGUUAGGCAUUCUUCGAAGUACACAAAUGUGGGUCCCGUCCGAACAUUAAACUAUGUAAAUUAUGUGAUUAGGCUAGGCGAUCAAAAUAGACAAAGGGGAAUUUAGGAGUCGAAGAGUCUUGAUAUAACACAUGUAAAUCGGUACUAAUCUUAAUGAUAACAAGGAUAUAACUACAUUGGUCUAUAUUAAAUGACUAAGUGUAAAUAGUCAGUAUACAAAGAAAGGGGGGGAGGGGCGUCCUAAGGUUGUUAGCCUAAAGGAUCAUCCCGUGCAACAUAAAUAAUACUUCGCAACUCCCUUAAGGUAGGGGUUGCUCAUAUUAUUCAGCGGGCAUAGACUAUCAUCUCCUGCUAUCCAAUUACUAUGUUGAAAUUGUUACCUAAAGGCAUUAUAAUUCAAUUCUAGGUCGUACCCUAUGUGUGCACUACCCGUCCCAUACCUAUUGUCCAGGAGGCUUUGGACUUCUAUUUAGGUGGUUCUAGACUCUACUUAGGAUGCUCAAAAAUAAUAAAACUAAUGCGCAUUCAAAACAUAUAGGACUACACAUAAAUGCAAGAAAAGGCUCAAGUUAACCUCCACGCAUAAACAACAAAUUUCACGCAGGCAAAUUUAGCUAUAGACAGCUUUUAGAAUUAAGACGCAUUAAAGUCGUUAAGUCCUAUAGGCAUGAUCUCAAUAUGAUUCUAGUAUUAUACAGGCAGUGUUGCGGUUUCUGGACUAACGAAUUUGCAGAUGUUAUAAACCUAUAGACAUGCUCUUAAACUAUUUACGCAAUGAGGCAAUAAAACUGUUUGAAGGCUUAGAGUUAACGACGUUCGAUUUAUAGACAUGCUUUCUAGACGAUGAAUAAUAUCCUAUAGGCACGAUUGACAAUUGAUCUUGAUUUUUAUAAUACUUUAUUCCUAUAGGCAUAUCAUCUAGGCGGGGCAGUGCAAUGAAAUUGACAUAAGUAGUCGAUUAAUCAAUUAGUUAAGCCCCUAUAGUCAUGAUAUCUAGAUGAGCAUUACAAAGGUAUGUAUUACUGCAUCAUAUAGGCAUGCUGUCUGAUAGUGCACAACAAUAGGCAUGGAAACAGGUACAACACUUACUCAAACCAACAUGUUGUGACUAGUGUACAUGUAUUAGACAAGUUGAGUGAAGGAUGUGAUUUCCUAUAGGCAUGGUUUGUAUGUGUGUACAGAAAUAAAACAUGCCAAACAAAAGUAGCAAACAGGUAGAUCCUAUAGGCAUGCUCUCUAUCUGUUUAUGCGAGAAUUAGAAUACCCCAACCUCUUUUCACUAAUCUCCCCAUUGUUUAUUUACAAAUUAUUACAUUCCCAAAGAUAAAAGAAGAAACAAACUCAAAUAUUACAGAAUCGAGAUGACUACAGGCUCUACAAAUAGAGCAGACCCAAGAAGAGGUAACCUAGUAUUGCCUUGGUCUUUAAUAGGCUCGUUCCUCACAUAAGUAGCAGACCCAGACCCAAACUAAACUCAAACACUAGAAUGUAUGUCCAUUUGCACAACCCAAAGCCACUCACAGACUCGUAUCAAGCCCAACAUUUACAAUAUUGAUCACUUAACCAAAUAAGUAAAUGGACCACACAUGAAAAUCAACUAAACAGCCCUAAGGCAAUACCUCAUAGAUACAGGAUUGUGUGACACUUAAUAGGAUUCAUAAACGCAUUGGCAUUUCAGAAGCGAGAGUGACAGAAUUGAUUAGGCAAAGAACAAGAAACUAGGAGAACCCACAAACUUGAUUUGCAACAUGGUAAAUGUAACAUAGAUUAAACCAUUAAGCAGAAAACAAUAUAUUAAAGAUAAACCUAAUACUAGGGUAGUUAAGGGGACAUGCCAUUUGGGAUUAACGAGGGAAGCAUACUAGACACAUACAAGAUGAAUAUGCGAAGUUUUUCAAGAAUAAGCUCAAUAUAGAGCAUAAUCCAUAGUUAAAAAAAGGGAUUUUGAACCUAGGAGUCUAAGUUAUGAAUGUCGAAAGGAGUCAGAGUCGGGAAAUGACAAUUACACAUAACAAACAAACAUGCAAACAGUGAAUAGGGAGCCUAAUCAUGCUGAGUGCAACACAAAGAUCCCCAAGUUCAAAGGUAUUAUGAUAUUAAUUCCAGAUUAACAUGUCAAACAGGAAUUAGGACUAUCCCAGUUGACUAUAUAAGAAGAGUAGUUUGAAUAUUUUGAGAUUCUUCCUAGCAGUUUUUAAAUAAUCCGCGAGUACAUAGUGAUAGCAACAUUUAGUGUUUACAAACAGCAAGAGACCCAGUUAGGAUAGUAUUAGCAUAUAGAUUCCUCAUGAAUUGACUCUAAGAAAAUUGUAGAUUGUACAUGAAGGACUCGGCAGAAAGUAGUUCAGUUGGACAAAUUCUAGGCAUGAAUUAGUUCCUCACAAGAAUCUACGACAUAGACUCAUAACCAGCAAUGGGUAUAAGUAACCAGCAUAAUGGGAAUGCAUUAAGGCUAGCAUAUUAGGCUAAGCAUUUAGAUAGUAUUGUCAUAUGACUUGCAGAGAAAUAGCACAUUAUGCAUAAAGGAUUCAACAUGAAGAGAGCAAUUUUGAGCAAAAGCAUAGUUUCCUAAGGGUUUUAGUACAAGGUUCAACAACCAUCAAUUAGGUUUCAAUUACGAAUCACGUAUGCAUCAUGAAUCAACUUAGUUAUCCAUUAAAAUCAGGACUUGCAUAGAAUUGAAGCUAAUGGAACUACAAAGUACUAGCAAAAUAAGCAGAAUUGCAUAUGAAGUGGCAUAAUAUCAAAAUUAACUCAGGAAAAUUCAAGUAGUACUAAUGCACAAAACAUGAACACGAACAGAAAGAAGUAGAAUUGGAAGAGUAUAGGGCACUAACUAGUUGCAAACAAAGAAAAUAAGGAAUAAGAAACUCAAAAUCUCAGGAAUAGCAUCAAUUGCCGGAGAGUAAUGAAAACCCCAAAAUCUCCAGUGCUUCAGAGUUCACAAGAGCCUCGAAGUGGGCUCCGAGCAGUGCUUGCACUGGAGGAGGCUAACGAACUGAUUCCGGUGGCCUUGGCUUUCAACCGGCCAAAAUCAAAAGUCACAGAAUAGUAUAGAAUGAGUGAGAGUGAGAGAAUAGUAGUGGUAACAAUAGUUAAGUCAAUCGUUCAUUUUUUCGAAGGGGAGCGGGGAAAGGGGGUUUAUAUAGUGGUCCAAAUCGAAUAAGAAAACAUGGAAAAUAAUUAAUCAAUCACAAAAAAAGAAAUAAUAUCACAUGCAAUCAGUAUUAGAAGUGGUAAAGAAGAAAAUGUUUAAAUUUCAAACCCUAGUUCGACGAAAAUCAAAGAUUGGCCAAAGAUCUUAGUAAAUCGGAUCCUCAUAGCCUUGCUAUGAAUGUAUACAGAUGAAAUAUCGUCUAAAUCUUGGAGAGUGGAGCUGGUAUCCUUUGAUUCAGAGACUAGUACUUGCCAAAAAAUGGGCAAGUACUAAGUAACACCAUAUUUACAAAGGUAAUAGCGGUAUAAUCAGGGAAAGGUAAGUAAAUCAUGGUAAGAAUCCAUGGAUGAGUUGGACUCGGAGAAGAAUUGGGGUGGCGGCUAGGGUUUGUGAGGUAAGGGGAGGGUUUUAGGGAAUAUAGAGACGGUUGACUAGGUAAAAUGAGUCUAGGGUUUGGGGUGAUGUUAAUUAGAAGAGGGGAGAUGGAAUGUGGGUCGUUGAUCUCCCAAUAUCAACGGCCAGGAUUUUAAUGAGAGGCGGAUCUGGUUAGUGGAUGGGUGUGGCGUAGUGGAUAACUGGUAUUAGGCUAGGGGUUAUAAGGAUGGAGUUUAGGGUGUGGGCUGGUGAAUUACGUCCAAAUUUUGGCCUGUUUUGGGCCAGAUUUUAAAUAGCUAAAUAAUAUAAAAAGUAGUAUCUAUGCAACUUAAUAUUUUUAAAAAUAAUAGCUGAAAAUUAUAAAAAUAUAAAAAAUUAUUUUGACAUUGAAUAAAAUGACAAAAGCAAUUAAUUGUAAAAAUAUAGGCUAUUAUUGUAAAAAUACGUAAAUAGUUCAAAAAUGCAAAUGUGAUUAUGGAAUGAAGCAAAAUGUUAUAAAACAUAUGUGUGGGUGUAAUAAUAAAUUUUGAUGAUGAAUUCAUCACAAAAUAAAUUUCGAAGGAUAAUUAAUAAAUCUUUGAACAAUUUAAAUGCAAGAAAAUCAAUUUUAAAGCCUCAAAAUAUUGUGAAAAAUUACAGAAAAUACUUAUAUGACCCCUGUAAAUUUGUGAUGAUGUAGGAAUGAUAUUUUACAAGCAUAUAUGAUAUUUAUAAAAAUAUGAGGGAAAAAUUGGGUAUCAACAUUCAUUAUUCAUUCCUAUAAAAUGUAAUUCAAAGCACGGCUACGUAUAUUCCUAAGUCCCUAUUGAAGAAUACAAUAAAGAUAUUAAUGUUCAUAAAUGUAAUGUUAUAUGCAUCUCCAUUUACCACCGAGCUACGGCCGGUCAGGCAGUCAUGCAUUUCUUACCGAGCUAUGACCGGUUAGCCAGUUACACAUUUUCCACCGAGCUACAGCCGGUCGGGCAGUCAUGCAUUUACCACUGUGCUACGGCAGGUCCGACAGUUGUCACUAAUCAAUUGGGCAGUUAACAUCACGAUAAUGAUGUAGUUAGGACUAUGGCAUUGUAUAUAUAUAUAUAUAUAUGAGAUUGAAAUUAUUAUACAUGUUAUGGACCUUAGCGGCAAGUUAGAGGUUACAGGUUGACUCUUAUCCCUUUCGGUGAUAGUAUCUUAUCAUAGUGAUUCAUUUCUGCCUUACAUACUCAGUACAUUCUUUGUACUGACGUCCCUUUACUGGGGGGACCCUGUGUUUCAUGUCACGCAGAUGUAGAUAGAUGAGGCGGGGAUCCUCCAUGGUAGGUUGCCUCUAGAUAUCAACUUUUGGUUGGUGAGCUCCACUUCUUCCUUGGAGUAUUGCCGAGUCAGGGUUCUUUAUAGCUUAUUUUUGUUUAUGGGAACAUCGGUGGCCCUGUUCCGAUUAUAUACUAUUUUCAUGUUGCCGUAGAGGCUUUGCAGAUCGUAUCAUGUGUAUAGUUUUAGUUAUGACAUGUCAGUCUAUCAUGACGGCCUUGCCGGUCCCCAUGUAUCUGUGUAAAUUCUUUAUGAGUUGGUUAUACGAUUUAAGUUCUAAUUUCAUUACAUAUAUAUGUAUAUCUAUGUGGCCUCUAAUGGCCCAUGGCGAGUCUUAUAGUAGAGAAGGAUAAAGUACCUGGCACUCGGUUGAGUAGGCAUAGGGUGCUAGUAGUCGCCCUCUAGUUUGGGUCGUGACAUAAACAUAACGAGUGUGCGUACGCGUGACUUGUUCAAGAUAUACUCCUUAAUUCAUUAAAUAAGCAAAUAAAAGUCGUUUAAAAGCAGAAUGCAUAAAAUCCAUUGAAACAUAGAAUGUCCAAAAAUUAACUAAGCCAAGUGUAAAUUAUUAAGCGACCAUGAUAGAACCACGGGACUCGAAGAAUGCCUUACACUUUCUCCCUGGUCAACAAAGAUUUUCCCGUCUUUUGUGUUCGCAGACCAUAAUUUGUAGUCAAAGCUUUCCUUGAUUUGGGAUUUAAAUAAUUGGUGACUUGAAAUACCAAAAUCACAUAGUUUCAAGUGGCGACUCAUAAAAAAAAAUAAUUCACUUUCAACUAAUAUCACUUAAAUUGGAAAUAUUCUUUUGCACCCGAAAAAAGAAGGUGUGACAGAUAUGGAAACUCCGCUGGGGAAUCAUGAUUUUCCGAAUCUCUGGUUUAGGGUUCAAAAUUCGAACUUGGAAUGCAUUUUAUACUUGAAUUUUAUUAUUUAUCUGAUAUUAUAUGUUUGGGCCUACUAUGUUAAUUAUAUCUCUUUUACCGUUUUGAUAAUAAAUGAAAUAUAUAUAAAACUUUAAUGCUAUGCUCUUCUCUCUUAGUCUUCUAAAUCUACUAGGGGUGUAUGUACGCAUGGCCCUUUUUGUUAGAAGUGUCACACAUAUUUUAGGACGGGGAUCAGAUCUACAAAUCCAGAUGGCCUUCUGGGUUCCCGGUACAUUGUCCCCACGACUCAAGCUGUUUGCAUGGGUAAGUCAGGUCUAGAAAUCUCUCCUAUUAAGAUUUUAAACCUAUAAGAACAAGCCACAUUUUGGAUUUUCUAGUAGGAACAUUUAUUUGCAUCAUGUGCAUUUGACUUUUGGGACUCAGUACUGGGGCUGGAUCCUUGUAGGAUAGGUGGACCACAUUUCUUAACGACCAUCUUGUACAUCUUAUAUGCUACUUGUAUAAUGUUUGUUAUACUUGGAUGUUGACUGUCUUUCUAGAAAUAAAGAGAGAAGAACGAGGAAAACCACGAAGGAGAAAAUAAGAGAGUGGAAUUUACCUGGUUUCCAUAAAAAAUCUAGUAAUUGAAAAACCAAAGUGUGUUAAAUUUUACACCAAAAGUUUUGAAAUAUUGAUUGAUAUUUCAAAAGUUUCCUUGCUUUUGGAUGACUUACGCGGGUCUGACUCUCACAUCCGGUGUGAUACGUAGGAAACACUCCUCAGGUCUGGCCCCCAAAUUUAAAAAAAUUCAAAAACAAAAUGUAGGUGUCUCUGUAGUGUAAUUUCUGUUGUCGAGUAUUAUCCCCGCGUCCAGCUGUUUUGCCAAGAAAGUGAAAAAUCUUCCUUACUAGUGCCAAAGGGCCGUUUUUGAAAAAAUAGCCACAUUGUCCAGUUGUGUCUCUAUUGACAAGUUUUGUCCUCGUGUCUUGUCAUUUUUGCCGAGAUAGCCACAAAACCUUCCUCGGUAGUAAAAAAUUAUUUUCAUAAUAAUUGUAAAUUUUAUCUUAAGUUGGGUUCUUAUCUCUCAUUCAACCUCAAAUCCUUCUCCAAGAUAGAGGGUAACUGUUUUCCCAAACUUGUAAGAGAUUUUUUUCACCUUCGAAUAGUCAUUUUGCAUGAGCUACGCAUACCUGAUUCUUGACCUUAUGGCAAGAUACGUAGGCAACCCGUCACAAAUCUGGUUUUUCUCGUCCUUAGUUUGACGAAUCGGUCAAAUCUAGCCACUUGGGACAUAAUUGACAAUAGAUCUUCAGAAAAAAGAUCAUUCCCAAAAAAAGAGAGAAAAUAUUUUUGUUUUGUUUCUUCUUUAGGCGUCAGAUACAAAAUUCCAAAAAUAUUUUUCUUUAGAAGUCCUUUUUUUGAGACAUCAAAUUCAAAAAUCAAAAAAUAUGUUCUUUCUUCUUUAGAAGUGUUUUCUUUGAGAAAUUCAUGAAAAAAAAAAUCAAAAUCCAAUAUUUUUCUUGUUAGGAGCUUUCACAUUCUGAUUUUUAUAAAAGUAAAAGAAAAGAGUUACUUUAUAUACUUUUGGAUAUUCCCGAACUACGCAAAGAUGUGAUUCAUAUCUCCUCAUGAUAUGUAGGCAACCCAUAUUGGGUUCGAUCGAACUAUUUUUGAAAAAUAAUUGUGAUAAUAAUAAGAAGCGGUUAAGCCCAUUAUAAUAUGUCUUUUGUUUUGAAUUGAAAAGUAAGUUUGAGGUGGUUAGUUUGUGGUAAUAUGGAAACACAAGAUCCAAGGGAAAAACGCCAAUGACCAUCGAAGUCGUCCAAGUGCUCACGAGACUCAGGUUCAAAUGGUUCUACAAGAGUUUGUUGUGCUUGAGAAAAAUAGGAUGCUGAAAGAGAGAACGACUGAAGUGUUAUCAAUCAUGGGCCAAUGGCUAAGAGCCGCCCUUGUCUAAGCUUGGUUACCCAAAUGUCACACCCUUCUCAAUGACUACUACUCAGGUCUCGUCAUCUAAUUUAUUUUACCCAUCUGGGGCAAGUACGUAUCCUAACUACACGAAUAUGGCUGGGACUUCUACUGUGCGCUCUCAAGGUAUGUCAUUGAGAACCAAUCACAAAACCACUGUUGUUAUGCCUAUCUACACUAUUUCACAGCCAACAGUGAUACAGAGAAAAUAUUAUGAAUUAUAGUUCACUACCCAGCAAGAACAGUGCCACUCUCCUAAGUACCAAUCGUAGCUAUUUGAUUUUCCUACAGAGAUUGAGAAGCCUUACCGAAAGAUGGCACAUGAAGAAAUGUCCCAAAAAUUAAAAAGCUUGUAGUGGCAUCUGAAAAACAUGCAACGGUUGGAUGGUUAGAAAAGUAUUGCCUUCAAGGAUCUAUGUAUAUUCUCCAAUAUCCUCAUUCCACAUGGUUUCAAGACCCCCAUGUUUCAAAUGUAUGAGGGACGUGGCAACCCCAUAGCCCACUUGAUAAUGUAUUGCAAUAAGCUAAGAAGCGCGAGAGAAAAAGGAAGAGUUACUGAUGGUUUGUUUUGGGGAAAGCCUUUCGGGAGCAGCCUCUAAAUGGUUUACUGAUUAAGAAACCUCUCAUUAGCAUGUUUGGGAUGACAUGACUCAGGACUUUAUUAAACAGUUACAGUACAAUAUACAUAUCGCCCCAGACCGAAUUUCCCUUUCAGAUAUGAAGAAGACACAAACUGAAAGUUUUAUGGAAUAUGCCAUUAAAUGGAGAAAGCAAGCGGCUAGAGUUAAGUGGCCCAUGGAUGACCAUGAAUUUAUCACUAUCUCAUUCAGGCUCAAGAUCCUGAUUCUUUUCAAAAUAAGAUGUCCACAAUAGGUAAACCUUUCUCGAAAGCAAUCAAGAUUGGAGAAAUUAUUAAAAAUGGCAUCAAGACAAGCAAAAUUAUAAGUCAUGUGGUUCUCAAAGACACAACUUAGGCAAUCCAGAAGGGAUCGAUAAUUUUAGUGACAUGGUGGAGUAGGAUGAAGAGGCCCAUGACGGCCUCAGAGUCAGAAGGAGAUCAUAGGGGAACAUCUCGAAGAUAUGGGCAGCCUUAUCAGGUUUCGUAUGAUUCUGUUGAGCACUACUAACCGCCUUAAAAUCCACAAUACUCUAUUGUUCCACCUCAGUGUGUUGUCCAUAAUGAACAGUCAUAUGCCCGACCACCAAGAUACUCCCGAAGGAGGACACCAGCACUGGAAAAUCAUCGAUAGCAUCCACAAAAGUUUCUAGCACCCUAUAACCCAUAUCCAAGGUAGGAGUGUGAAAGGGAGCAGAGACUGAAAGAUAAUUUUACACAGAUAAGGGAGUUCUACGCAAGAUCAUUUGAGAAAUUAAAGCAUUAUGUCAUGAUCGCACUGAUCUCUCCAAAUUACAUGGACCCAUGUGCAAGAAGCUUUGAUGCUUCUAAACGGUGUAAAUACCAUUCCAAUCCCCAGGCGCACAGUGUUGAGAGCUGUCGGGAUUUGAAAAGUGAAAUCGAAAGGAUGAUUCAGGAAAAAUUAAUUGUGGUCUAGGACAUUAACACCCCGAAUAUCAUGCAUAAUCCUUUACCUGCAUAUGAUGAUGUGUAUAUUGUGGGAAUAGUAUGUGGUGACAUGGAGUAUAAGAGUCCUCCCAAGAACUUUAAAAAGUCGGUUGCUAUGAAAUGUCAUAUUUCACCAGUCCUGAAUCUGGCAGGCAAUGAUGAAGACGAGUGGAUCAAAGGGGUCAGGAACUUUCUUACUAAGGUAAAUGAGAUUAAAAUUGAGGAAGGCCUUAAUGGUUGAUGAGAAAAUCUGUGGCUAAAAUAUCAAGCUUAGUAAUUGAAAAAUCACUCCUUACGAGAAAGGGAUCUUGGUAGCUUGUUUUGAAGUUAUUUAUAUUAUCUUGGUUACUUCAAGGUUGUGGUACAAAUUUUGUUUAUUUUGUUGAGUCAAACCCUUCUACUCCUUUAUUCAAUAUGUUUGUGAUUCUUGUUUGUUUAUUUGUUUUGUCACUAUCUGGGUUAUCUCAUGGUUGUAACUCAAAUUUUAGCCUGUUUGUCUUGUUGUGAACACUUCUAUCCUUUAUUCAAUGAAAUAUAGUUUAUUAAUUUAUGUCAUUCUGUGCUUAGUUCUUUUCACGCUAGCUUUAGUGACAUGAAAUGCAUGCGAAAUUUUUGGCCAGAUUUUAGAGAAUUGAUUUAGGCCUGAAUAGGAUAUCUGGGAAAAAAACACUUUUGAAAAUGAGUAAAGAGUUAAAACACUUUAAAAAUAAAUUCGAGUCAAAUUCACGGGGAACUAGAAUAGUCAUACUCGUGGAGGUUAAGGAUCUUCACAUUCAAAUCAUUGUGAAGAUCGGGCUUAAGAUAAUAUGUUUGGCGUUAUCAAGGCUGGGAGGCCCUUUUUCUGCUACGCAAACACUUUAUACCCUUCGUCACUCCUUUUGAGCCUAUGUCAUUUUCUUCAACCCACUCUUUUGGAAUAGUCACGACCAAAAAUUCCACCAGAGAUGUGAGGUUGCCUAACACCGGUUGCUAGGUAAGCCAACAUCCAUUAUUCAGAAGUAACUUCAAUAACAAUAAGAAAUAAUCUCAAAAGCAUAAUAACAUAGAUAACCAUAGCCAAAUAGCGAUACAUCUCAAAUACCAUCCCAGAACCUGGUGUCAAUGAGUACAGGAGCUCUAUAGAAGAAGUAACUACAAUGGUAUGAAUAACAAUACAAUACUAUUUGAAGAACAUAAACAGUAAUAACAAAAGUAAGGAAAAUGACUCCAAGGCUUGCGAAUAGAAUAAUAGAGCUACCUUGAAAUCUCCAACAUGUACUGAUACGACUCUCUAGCAAUCAACUCUAUUAGCAGUACCUAAAUACGCACAUAAAGUGCAUAGUGUAAUAUGAGUAAAAUCAACCCCAUAUACUUUGUAAGUAGAAAGCCUAACCUCGGAUUGAAGAUAGUGAAGUGACGAGCGCAAAACACUACUUUAAUUAUGCUCGCUAGUUAAAGAUAGUAUAGUAUAAUAUUGUAUCCACGAGGAUUGGUGUUAAACAAUAUUCUUGUAAUUUAUAGCUUGAUUGCUAUCCAAGAUGAUCAACAAUGGAGAUUUCUAAGAUUUUUAACUAUAAUUAACUAUCUAAAGCUAUUGACUAACAACAAUCGCAACAAAGGUAAGCAAGAAAGUUAUCAAUGGGAGAAAAUAGGGGUUGAUAGAAUGGGUGCAAGAUAUUUGUUUGGGAUCUAACUCUAGAUAAUUCACUUCUAAUGUUUAAGUGAGUCUAUAGAAUUCACUCAAUUAUCAGUUCAAACGUUCAGCUAAAAAUUCUCUCUCGAUUAAGUCUUAACCUCACGAGAUGAACCAAUUUAAGCACGUGAAGAUAUGGAAGAAUGCGUAAUGGAUUGGUCUUUAGGAAAACCUCUUCCGAUUAUUCUCCUAACUAGGUUUAAUUAAUAAAUCAACUAGCCUCUUUCAAUUACUAAGAAAAAUUAAUGAACUCAACCAACAAGAUAAUGCAAAGAUAUCGCAAGUUAUGCCUCUCUCGAUUACAUGAACAAGUGAAUAUAGAUGCAAUAAUUAAAUCAUCCAAAAAUGCCUCAAUACAUAAAACUAGAGUUAUAAUCCACAAAAAAAUAUCAAUACACCAAAUCCAUCAAACCAUAAAGGGAACUACUCCAUAGAUAUGGAGCAAUUCAUCAUAAAUAUGUUUAAAGAAAAGGAAAGGAUAAAAUGAUCCAAACUCGGCUCUUGAGUGAGGAUUGAAUGAUGAACUCCUUCUGCUUUUGUUUCUCCAACUCCUAUUUAGCCUCCCUAGGUCUCCAAUAUGUCAAAAGUCCAGAAAAUAAAGUUUUUCCAUAUAUU